rnacentral:lncRNA from 1 species
UUUUUUGUUUAAUGAUCAUAUUUUCUUAUUCAAAUUUAAAAAAACAACAACCACAUAGUCUUUACACAUUGGGCCAGCCUGAAAUAAUAGAAUAAAAAUGAGCUUGACCCGGCCCAUCCCAAACGAGUUUAGGACAUAUACCCUCAGAAAUAGGGUUUCCUAAAACAUUCCUCAUUUUCCACCCACUCUAUCUGAAAAUUGAUGUCGCCGCCUGCCAUCCUCUGCGUCUAUUACCCAUUUGCACAAGUAUGAAGCUACUUCCCCCUUUAUGUUUUUGUUCUAGUUUCCUCUCCGGUUAACUUGCUUCCUCUAUCCAAAUUCUAGUUGAAAUCUUCGAUGGAUGCUUGAGAUGAUCUCCUCUAACCUUGUAUCAGUCAGGAAGAAGAUUGCAUUUGGAAUCUAGCCAUCGCCUAGGUUACACAGUAACUUGCCAUAGAUCCACUUCCUUUUUGCUGAUAGAACCUUUUGUAGUCUUGUGUAUAGUAGACCUAGCAACAGAUUACUUAUCAUUUUGAAGAAAGAACCAUUUGUAAGCUUCUGUAUAUUAGACUUGCUUAAUCUAUCUUUUCACCCCUUUUAAGGUGACAAUCUCAAGUAUGGUGUCUGAGAUUUAUCACUGUUGAGUAUUUUCUUUCCUGUUGUUUGCAUCUGUUGAAAACUUGUGAAUGUGAAUUCAUUUACUUUAAAUGCAUGAUUAGCAAAGUAAUCAGCCAAUUUAUUCCCUUCUCUCAGAAUGUGCUAAAGCUGGACUGUUAUAUGUUACAGUAACUUCCAUAUUUGAUUAACUUUAUCCUCUAUACUCCAUGGACAAUCCCAUAGUUUUUCUAAAAACUUCAGCAUACUUAAUGAAUCAGUUUGUAUGACUACUUUGCUAAUAUGUGCCUUGUUGCAAUGUAAUGCUGCUUGUAGUAUAGCUUCUGCUUCUGCUUGUAAAUUUGUAGUAUCUUCCAUGAUUGUAACUUUUGCAUACACUAAAUCCCCCCUUUCAUCCGUCACACAAAAUGCAGAAGAACUUGCCCCUGGAUUCUCCCUAGAGGCUCCAUCUGUAUUGAUUUUACUCCAUCCUUGUUGAGGAAAAUCCCAUUUCACCUUUGUGACUUUCAUCCUUGUUUUGUGCCUUGCCAACUCUGCAAAUAUUUCUGGCCAUGUAUUGAGAAAUUCUUGGUAUGGCUUCCUUACUUUCAGUAGUAAUCUGAUGUUUCUGAUAACGUUGUGUUGUACACUAUGCUCUGAUAUCUGUUUCCCUUCAUAUUUCCCUUUGUUUCUUCUUCUCCACAGCUCCUAAAUAAUGAUGCUAGGAUCAACUAGAUAAUAGCUUCUAUCUCUGAGUCUUAACAUCUUCAUUCCACCAUUCCAUUACAAUCUUCCUAAAGUUUAGUCCUUGUAUAUUUAUACCUGCAAAAUAAGAAAAGUAGGACCAUGUCCUGUUAGUAAUAGGAGCUCUCAGAAACACAUGUGAAAUAGUCUCCUGAACAUGGGUGGUACAACACCAAUAUUUGGUAGGUCCUUCUACCCCCCACCUUCUAAUAGCCUCCUCAAUUGGUAUUUUUCCUUUCCAAAUUCUCCACAUUAGAAAGGAGAAUUUAAAAGGUAGUCCUUUUAUUCACAUUUCCUUGAAAAUUUCACUCUUUUCCUUCCCCUAUCUAAUAUACUUCCAGGAAGACUUCACAGUAAAUUUCCCAUUAGAUUGAAGCAUCCAAAUGGAUUUAUCAUUUCCCCUACUCCCAUCUGGUGGCUGUACAUUACCAUGAUGUGAGUAGUAAUUUCCCCUGGUAUCAGCUGAUUCAACACAUUAACAUUUUAUGUUUCUUGACUUUGUCAAAUUAAUUAUAUUCUGAAACCUAUCAUCCCACAUCAAGUCAUUAUCUGUAAUAUGGUACAGACUCUCUAAUGUUGUCCAAUUAUCCCACCAAAUGCUAGAUUCUCCAUUCUUGACUUUCCACAAUAUUUGAUGCUCUGUCAAAUCUCUAGCUUGUAGCAUUUUCUUCCAUACUUGUGAACCCCCAGCUCCUUUGUUCCACAGAAUCAUAUUAGGAUGUUCUUUCUUACAGUACUUAUUAUGCAUAUAGUCCACCCAAAUAGACCUUUUGGUUCUGAAGUUCCACCAUAGCUUACAAAACAAAGCCAUAGAAACAUCUUUUAACAAUCUGAAACCUAACCCUCCUUCUUCCUCAGGCAUACACAUAACUUGCCACUUCACCCAGUGCCUACUCUUGUACCCUAUGUAGCUGCUCCAAAAAAAUUGAGCAAGCAUUUUCUGUAUUUGAUUCAGAACAUUCAUUGGGGGAUUCAUUACUGAUAAAGAGUGAACUGGAAUACUCUGAAGAACAUGUUUAAUCAGAAUAGCCCUUCCCCCAUAUGACAGUAAUUUACCCUUUCAACACUGAAAUUUACCACUUAUUCUAUUCAUCAACCCCUGAUAGUGAUCUUUCUUCUUUCUUAUAUGAAAAAUAGGACAACUAAGGUAUGUAAAAUGGAAAUCAUUCCUCAUAAUUCCUGUUAUCACCUCUGCUAUAGCCACUACCCCAUAAGACACAUUUUUAUGCAAAUAUAUAACACUCUUAUCCUUAUUGAUCCUCUUACCUGAAGCUCUCUCAUACUUUUCUAAAGAUUCUGUCAACAACCUCAAAGUAUUGAUCUAUGCCUUGCAUAAAAUGAUCAUAUCAUCAGCAAAAGCUAAAUGAUUCAACUUAGAACUUCCUCUAGGCAUCCCAAAAGUUUUAAACUCUUUAGUCAACAAUAACUUUUUAUGAGAGCUGGACAUUACCUCAGCUGCUAUAAUAAAUAGUGUUGGUGACAGAGGAUCUCCUUGUUUCAAACCUCUAGAUGAUCUAAAGAAACCCUUAGGUUGACCAUUUAAAAUGAUUGAAUACCAAUUAUUACUCAACAACCUAUACACCAUAUCUAUAAUAAGUUCUCCAAAACCCAUUUUUCUCACAACUUUUAUCAAAAAAACCAUUCAACCCUAUCAUAUGAUUUCAUCAUAUCCAACUUUAAGACCAUGUUAGGAGGCUUACCUCUUUUAUUAUUUUCUGACACAAUCUCCUGUACCACCAGGAUAUUCUUUGCUAUACCCCUUCCAUUUACAAAUUCAGCUUGCUCUUCUGAAAUAAUCCCUGGUAACAGUUUCUUAAUUCUAUCAUGUAUGAUUCUUGAAAAAAUCUUGUUGACAAAAUUACAUAAAGAAAUUAUCCUAAAGUCAGAGAAAGUAUUAAGCACCAACUUCUUUGGUAACAUUACUAAAUUUAUGUGGGUAAUAAACUUGCGCAGUUCAUAUCCACCAAAAAAAGUUUUUACCAUUUCAUAAAUGUCAUUCCUAAUAAUUUCCCAAGAAUCUUGAUAGAAGGCUCCAUUCAUACCAUCUGGUCCUCCUGCACUAUUUUUGCUAAGCCCCAUCACAGCUUCUUUGACUUCCUACAUUGUUGGAUAUGUAAUCAAUUCCUCAUUCUGCUUCGAAUCAAUUAACUCUAGUAUUUCCUCCAAAAUAGAAAAGUCUUCACAUUGCUGCCCUUUGGUAAACUGCUUCUCAAAGAAUCUGAUUACAGCCUUUGAAAUGUCAGCCUGAUUAUCCAUCCACUCCCCUUAUUCAUUUUGAAUUCUACUCACCUUUAGACUAUUUCUUCUCCCUCUUACAAUAGUAUAGAAAAAUUUAGUGUUUCUCUCACCAUUCUUAAACCACUCAAAGCCUGAUUUUUGUUUCCAGAAAUCAUUCUCGCUUCUGAGCUGCAUAUUCAACUUUGCCUAGGAUUUGAUCAAUUUAUCUCUAUUCUCUCCAGUUGGAUUCUAAUCAAAUUGGAUAUCCAAGACUUUAACAACAUCCUCAAGAGUUGCAAUUUCUUGAAAAAGAUUACCAAAUUUCUCUUUGCUCCACUAUGUUAAUGCUUUCUUAGUCUUCUUCUGCUUGUUAUGAAACAUGAUAAAUGGGUUACCCUGCACUUUUGUUAUCCAAUUCUACCUAAUUACCUCCAAACAAGUCUUAUACUUCAGCCAAAAGUUCAGAAAUCUAAAAGAUUUGAUGAUCUUUUCCUAGGGAUUAUACAUCUACAAUAGCAAAGGGUUAUGAUCCGAUCCACUACUAGGAAAAUAUUCUACUUCUAUUACCUGGAAUAAAUUUUGCAGCUUGUUAUUCCUUAAUACUCUGUCCAUACUCUCAAAUAUGCAAGCCUCAUCCACUCUCCCAUUCCACUAUGUAAACUUACUCCCUUUAAAACCUGGAUCUUCUAAAUUACAUACACUUAUACAGUGAUUAAAAUCACCUGUAUCUGCUAAUGUAACAGGUAAACCUGUAAGUUUUUCUUCAUUACUAGUUACUACAUUGAAAUCUCCCCCGACAAUCCAUGGUUCAUUCACUGAAUGAGCCAUAUCAGCUAGAGAUUCCUACAAUGCCGUCCUUUUCUGAUUUGUACACUUAGAAUACACCAAGGUUACUACUACUCCAAUUCCUUCUUGAUUAAAGAUCUUCAAAGUUAAUUGCUUUUCAUCUUUUACCACAGUUCAUUGAACUCUUCCAUCACAAAAAGCCCAUAUUUUCCCAGAGGAAUUACUUACUGCCUGCUACAUACCCAAUCUGGUUUUGUACUCCUCAAUGGUUCUGGCAUCCAGGAAAGGUUCCAUGAGACCAAUAAAGUAGAAAUGGUGUCUCUUUUGCAUUGUGAUCAGUCUUGAAAAAGCUUUCUUUGUAUUUACUGAUCUUAUGUUCCACAAUAAUGCUUUCAUCCUAAAUUAUUUUUAGAUUGACUUCUGGUAACCAUUGUAUUAGCACUUGCCUUCUUGCCUUCUUGCGUUUUUUCUUUUUUUUUUUCCCAACUACUGCUUUAAUUAUGUCAAUUUGCUUAAGAGAUAAACCUCCUUCAAUGGCCACUCUAUCAAUAUUGUCUUCUAAAUCUCCCUCAUCCAGGGACUCUUUGUCCUUGUUUGCCAAUUCCAACUGUUGAUCAGCCUGUAUGAUAAAAAGUAGUACUCCUUCCUCUACCUUUUCUAAUUCAUUAGAAUGCUUAACAAAUGCUAAUUCAAUUUAUUUUUGUGUCUGCUCUCCAUCUGCAUGAUCCUCUAUUACUUUUCCCUAAAUUUGCCUCUCAAUCUGCUUAGGAGUAGUAUUAUUAUCUGCAUUCCAUACUCCUUGUUUAACACCAAAUGUAUUUGUAACCCAUUAGCUGGAACAUCUUCAACUGCAUCUUCCCCAACUUCCCCUGUAAUGUGCCCAUAUUUAUCUUUUUUGUAUUUAUUCCUCGUAUGACAUUGUAACUUAUUGUUCCUUCUUUUAUUAUUGCUGAUCUUUGCUGAUACAUCUUUUUCAACAUUGUGACUUGCACUAUCUUUAUUACGUUGAUUAUCUUCUGACAACUGUUUGUCUCUUGCAUCUUCGUAUAGCUCAGGAUGAAUGUUCCAACAGCUAUUUCAUCAUGCCCCUAUAAGUAACACUCUUUAUAGUACUUGGGCAUAUGAUCAUACUGUAUUGCUACCCAUUUUGAUUUAAUUGCUCCUGUUAUGUCAUUCUCUUCAUUAAUUCUGACUCUCUGUGGAAGUUUAUCUACCAAGUCCACCUCAACUUUGACCUUAGCAAAACUAGGUCGUAUUUUAUUUCUCAUUGCUAUGUCGUCUAUCAAAGGUUUCCCAACAGCUGAUGCUAUAGAAAAGACAACCUCUUUUGCAAAAAAUUUGGAGGUAAAACUUACAUUGAAAUCCAAGCUACCUAACUUGAUGUUUCAAUAUCAGGUUCAAUACAAGGGUACCAUUUUUAUGUCCCCAUCUGCCAAUAUUUAUCCUUUGCCUUGAUGUAAUAUGUGGACAUUGAUAAAAGUGUAACAUAAUCUUCAAGAAUUUCCAAAUGGAUUAAAAUGUCUAGCAUCAAGAACACUAAUAGUGCAAUCGCCCUUUAUACCACAUUGACCCUGGAAUAACCUUGCAAAGUUCAUUCACAUCCGGCUUACCAUCUAAAAAUUUACCUAUUAUAGAAUAUUGUAAAUUUUCUUGUACAAUCAAGUGUCGUAUCUCUGAACUUUUCCUUGUGAUACUAGGUUCUCCCUGAAACAUCACUACCGGCUUUGGGAGAACCCUGUUAUUAUUAUUCAAUACCUCCUUAGGUUUCACUUUUUUUGCAUAACUCAUUUUCAUAUCAGUAAUUUUAAUUGCAUUAGCAGCCAUAUUUAUGUGAGAUUUCUCUUUAGGUGGUUUAAGCCCACCGAAAGAGGGUGGAGGCCAUGGUGUCCGAUCGAAUAAUUAGGGUUUGGAGAGAGAAAAAACUGUAUUAAGGAUGGCGUAUGAAUACUAGGUCUGAAACUAUCAUAACUAUCGACAUAACUAUGUGUGUGGUAGAAUAAGGUAAUUCAUCACCAAUGGUGAUUCAUAAGAUACAUCUGUAAUGACCUAAUAUGUGAAACCUUCCAUUUUUAUGUGUUUUGACUAUUUUACCUAUGUAGUUGUUACAUGAUUAUUAGAGGUGGGGAUGGUUGGCACGAUGCAUUUGGAAAUAAUUUGAGAGAGGGAAAUAAUUUGAGAGAGUUUGAGACUCUUCGAGGCUUUAAAAAGCCACUAGUUUGAUUUUGGUCAAUAUCUUGUGUUUUGUGUGCCGAAUGACAAUUUAUAUAGUUCCAGUAGAUUCGAAUAUCAAAUUUGAGUUAGUAGCUGGGUUGGUUCGUGUUCAAAAUAUUUAUUUUGCAUUUCGACCCUCAUUGUGAAAAUUAGUUUAAAAUAAGCUUUUAGAGGUUCCGGGGGUUAGUUUGUUGAAAAUAUUUUUUUUCAAAAUCUAAUAUUUUUAUUGAGUCCAAAACAUCAAAAAUAGCCUAGAAGCAUUGUUCAUUUGCAUUCACCGAAUUCUGAACGAAUUUUGAGUGGUCGAUUGACAAUUUUGCAACUUAGCAAAGUUGUUGAUACAACUGAUAUCUAGUGCAGCUGCUUGAGCGCCCAAGGAACACUUUAGAGGCAUGUCACCACUUUACCGAUCUCACUCCACUUAUGUAGUAGUUGCUUUAGCGGCAUGGUGCCACUUUAGUGAUUAUUUAGUUUCUAAAAUGGCUAUCGCUGAAGUAACAUAUCUAGCCCAUUUUAUAAUUUUGCUUCUUUUUUUGACCUUGAAGGAUCGUGUUUUGAUGAUUUUGAUGGUUUUUUUCACCAUUUGAGCUUGGAUAAGCUUCAAAAUCUUAUUUCAAUAAAUUCUCAUUGAUUAUAUCUUCAAAAACACUCUUUAAUCUUGAUUUUAAAAUGGAUUUUUAGGGUUUGGCAGGUAAAGCUUAAAAAUAAUUUUUCAUUAAUUUGAACUUUGUUUUUAACUCAUUUUUGCUUGGGUUUUCAACUGUAGACUCUUAUAACCUUGGAGAACUUAUUUCUAAAAUAAAAUUUUAGUUUUACCCCUUUUAGUUUUGCACCCAUUUUGCACUUGAUUUAAAUAUGGCCGAUAUAGGUAUCAUUAACUUUCUUUUAACCUGCAGAUGUUAUAUUUGAAUUUUUAAUUGAUUUUGAGAGCGUUCAAAAGGGGAAAACUCCAUGUUGAAGACAUUAGGCUCAGAUUUAAUCACUUUGAGGUAGGUUACUUUCUUUUGACUGGACUGGGUAGUUAAUAAAUAAGUAAAACAUGCUAUGUGUUGGGGAAAUUAGCCAUGGGAGUUGUAUUUCGAGAUUAUUUGUUGUUUUAUGCCCGUUUGGGGGCUUAUAUGCUUAUUUUUGUUGAAUUGAGAUGUCUUAUACUGCGUGUUACCUGUGCGGGGGCUUUAUUUGAUUUCCAUAAGCUUGAAUUUGGCAUUAAUUAUCUUAUUUUUAAUGUGAUGCAUGUGCAGGGGCUUGAAUAGAUACUAUAGGUCUUAUUUAAGCAUUUUUGCCUUUAUCAUGAUAUUCAUGCCCAAUUUAGGGGUUUGAUGUGAUAUUAAUGAUGCCGUACAAGCCUAUUAUUCUGGUGGUGCUGAGUGAGAUCUGAUAUCAUGAAUUACUAAUAUUUUGAGUUGAUUCUUAGCUCACGUAUACAUGUAUCAAGUUGAUUAUUAUCUUUAUACUUACUUGAUUGUGAGUAUUACAUCCUUAUCCAUACAUACCCAUUUAUGAGAUGUUGGUACCAUUAGAAACAUUGAUAUGAAAGAAAAUUGAGAUUUUUAUGAAAACCCUUAAUUUGUAAACAAUAGAUAGAGUGGUAAAUGAGACAUUUUUAUGUAAAACCCUUGAUCCAUGAACACUUUCCAGAGAGUGAAGUUGAGAUUUGAGGUAGUAUAGGGGUUGCAAACCCCCUGUGGAUCCUAUCUUGGGAGCACUGAGGCUCGGUAGGUGUAUGCAAAAAUUCAUGGUAUGAAUUUCAGUCAUUCAUCAUGAUUCCAUCUUCAUUGCAUUGCAUUUUGUGUACUUUUAUGUACUUGACACACAUUUAUUUUCUGUAUACGUUUAGUGUGUAUCUAUUUUUAUUCAUUCCAUAUAAUAUGUAUAUAUAUGUAUGUGUAUGUGUAUGUGUGUGUGUAUAUACAUACAUUAAAACUAUUAGUGGAGAUGGUAUGAGCUACCAUUUGAGAACUUUUCUGCUUGCAGGUUAUGUUCUCAUAACAUCUUUUACUUGUAUUAUUUUCUUCUUUACUCAGUUGUCCCAUGAUACCAACUAAGUAUAAGUGAACUGUGCUCACCCCUACUAUGCCCUUUUGGUAAAGAUACUAGUAUGAAUAAGAGACAUGAUAGUUGAUUUAUGCUAUUUAGAAUUGACAUUAGAGGUACUGGAGAACUCAUGAGUUUGGGGUAGGCUCCAGAUCUCUCCCUAUCUUAGUUGUCUUUAUUUAUCUUUGGAGACAGACUUACGUAUUUUUCAGUUUUUGUAUGUCGUAUUUAGAUGCUCUUAUAUUUGUGACUCUUCUUCUUAGGGUAUAAGGUAUUUUGUUCUGACUUUCUCUUUAUUGUACAUGUGUUGACUUGACUUCAUUCUAGAAAUCUCAUUUUCUUGUUUUUGUUUGUAUUUUUGAUUUUCUUUCGUUUUGGGGAAUCAACUUACUUACCAAGGCAGGGUCUCGGUAAGUGCCAUCAUGACCUCAAUUUUUUAUUCAUGAAAAACUAAUAUCAGAGCCCCAUGUUCGCCACUCGCAUAAGUGUAAUGGCCCAUUAUUUUUUAUUGAUUAUAUCAUAAAAAACAACUCUAAAUCAUGAUUGGGGUUUUUAUUGGUAAAGUUUAAAAGAGUUUUUCUCUAAUUUGGGCCUCACUUUUAACCUGUUUUCACCUGGAUUUUCUCCUGUAGACUACCAUAAUCUUGGGAAAUGUGUUUUUAAAAUAAAGUUACAGUUUUACCCUUUUAUUUUGAACUCAUUUUUUAAAUUCAUUUUGGAUCCGACCUGAAUAUGAAAUAUAUGGAUAUCAUUAGUUUUGUUUUAAUGGGUAGAUGCUAUAUUUGAAUGUUAUAGUUUAUUUUGAGGCUGUAUAUAGGGGGAAUGAUCUACAUUGAAGUACUUUAGUUUAUUCUAGAUAUGAUUUUGUGGGGCUUAUUUUAAUAAUAUAGGAUUUAUUUGAGUAUUGAUUGCCUUUAUCAUGAUAGAUUUACUUGAGUUAGGGGUUAAUAUGAUAUUAAUGAUGUCUUACAUUCAUAUUUAUUUUGAUGGUGCUAAAUUAGCGUUGAAGAUCAUGAAGUAUGGUCAUACUGAGUUUAUUUUUUGCUCACUUAUAUACAUAUAUGUUGGAUGGACUGGAUCAUUAUAUUAAGUUAAUUGUGAGCAUUACAUCCUCAUUCCAUGCAUAUAUAAAUUCAUGAGAUACUAGUACCAUUGUGAAACCACUGUUUUAAAAAGAAAAUGAGACACUUUUAUGAAUACCCUCUCUGUGAACAUGAGCUGAACUGGUGAGCUGGGAUUAAGAUAUGAGAUAUAGUAUAUAGGUUGCGAAUCCCUAUGGAUCCUACCUAGGAGUUGCGAGAUCAAUGGGUGUAUAUAGAAAGUCAUGCGAUGGCUUUCACCAUUCAACCCAUCUAUAUUGUAUUGCAUUUCAUCAAAGCACGUUUCUUUCAUGAUUUAUUUAUUUUCCUUGACUUGUGCUCGUUUCAGUAUCCUCAUGUAUGUUUUUUCUAUUUUUGUUUCUAUUUAUAUAUUUGAAUUGUUAGUUGAGACAAUGCGCGCUACAGUUUGAGACUUUUUCUUUUACAUGUGACGUGCUCAUAAUUUUCUUUUCUUAUAUUAUUUCCUACUUUUCUUAGUCAACCUAUGAUAUUAGUUGUGUAAAAAUGGACUAUACUCACCCUACUGUGUCCUUUGCUGCAGAUCUGAGUAUGAGUAGAGGAUGCAAUAGCUGAUUUCGUGCAAAUUGCAGCGACGUUUGAGGUAUGGUAAUCUAUGGAUUUCAGAGCUGACUCCAGGCCUCCUCUUAUUUUACUUUGUCUUUAUUUCAGUUUUAGGGGAAAAUAUGUAUUUUUAUAUUUUAGUUAUGUACUAAAUGCUCUUACACCAUGACACCAGAUUUUUGGGACUUAUGAGAUUUAUUUUAGACUCUUAUUUUAUUAUGUUCUAUAUUGGCUUGACUUUAUUCUAGAAGACUCACCUUGGUUUAUGUUAUUUUCGAUUUUAUUUUUUCUGUAUUAGUUUGGGUGAUUAACUUACUCAUCAAGGCUGAGCCACAAUUAGUGCUCUCAUGACCACUUUUUGAAUCAGGAUAAAUUGAUAUUAGAGCAUCCAGGUUCACCGGUCUCAUAAGUGUGAGAUUAAAAUGUCCAGUUGAGUCUCGAGGAUCGGUACAUAGACAUUUACAUCUAUCUUUGAGAGCCUAUAAGAUAUCUGUAGGAAGUAUUAAAACACCCUGGGUUUUGACCCUUAGAAAAUAUCCUGGAAUUCUUGUCUCUAAACCCAAUAUGACUCAUGGGUAUGAUUCAUAUGUUGGGGUACGAAUAGUAUGGUCUGGUCAUAUGCCGACCGGUGUGGGUUUUUGGGAUGGAUUUUGGUCACUGGAGUGGGUACGACUUGAAUGGUACGAGUUGUAUGAUUGGAUACGAAUCAUUUGGUUUAGGUUUUCCUUAGCUAAAUCUUAAACCUGGUCGCUUAAGUUGAAUCUAAGUACGUGUAGCUCACCAUGAGCCAUAAGUUAGGGUACGAAUCAUACCAGAGAUUUGUAUGGUGGACAUUGUUCAAACCUUCUGUGAUUCUGGCCUUCCAGGGAAACGAGUGAAGGGUACAGAUCUUGUGUUUUCAAUACGACUUAGGGAGGAUGAGUCAUUCACUGGACAGUUUUUGGUCCAAGGGUUGAGGUUUAGGAUAUAAGUGAUAGGUACCACUUGUAUCCAAGGGUAUGAAUAGUAAGGGUUAGUCAUACCGUUGUGAUGGGAUUUUUGUGCAACUUAAGUGGGGGUAUUUUGGACAUUUUUCCACUUACCCUAAUAAGGCCCCAUGACUUCUAACUCACUUGGGAGGCUAUUUACCCUAUUAUUCUAAUCAUUAACACUUAGCAACUCUUUCUAAACACUCUAUAAUUCUCUCAAGAGCUUUUGGGCAAGGAAGCUAGGGUUUCAACUAGAGGACUAAUUUGGGGGAUCUUGUUAGUGGUUUCUCCCCAUCUAAUUUGUCAAUUAAGGCAUGUUAACUUUCCUCACUAUUAGUUCCAACAAAUUCAUGGGUUUUAUGAAUGGUUUUCAUGAUUUUAUUGUUUUAUGAUUUUGGGUUUUCAACUAUGAUUUGGGGGAUUUGAAUAUAAAUGAUUGGUUAUGGUUUUCCACGAUUUUAAUUAUGUAUUUACAUGCUUAAUUAGUGUUUUUAGACAAUUGGAUUGCAUGGGAAUGGUUAAUUAUAGUUGUAAUUAGUUUUGGUUAUACAACAACAACAAACCCAGUAAAUUCCCACCAAGUGGGGUCUGGGGAGGGUAAAAUGUAGGCAGUCCAUAUCGCUACUUCCGAAAAAGUAGCGAGACUGUUUCUGAUCGACCCCCGACUUUUGGUUAUAAUAUUCCCUAAAUGUGUUUGGCAAAAUGCCAAUAAGGAUGUUUUCAUUGCAUUGAUUAUUUUUAAUGGAACUCUUGCUUGUUUUGAACUUGGUAAAAGAAUUCUACAUAGUUUAAACAGUUUGGAAAGGUAAAAAGGCUAAAUGGUUAUGCUUGUAGGUUACAUAGAAAUCCCCCAAGUGGUUUAAUAUGGUUAAUAGAAGGGUAUAUAGAAUCCCUUAAACCAAUAUAUGGUCGGCUUAAGAAAAAACUUGCAAGUAUAGUCGGUAUGACGAUACUAGUACUAAUGGCCUGGGUUAAUAAAUGGUAAAUAGAUUGGUUGGUUGCUUGGUAAUAGUUUUAAUUGGGAAAUAAUGGUAGGGUGUGUAGCAAAUUGAUUGAAGGUAGAGGUCCCAGGGGGACCAAAACGGGAAACUCAUAUUCGCCAAUGUGAGUUUUGGUCCAAGUGACAGUGCGCAUGAUGUCAUACUUUUUAUUUGGGGGAUGUACUAGUCAUCUCAAGUUUUAUUCCCUGGUCAUACGGCUUCACUCACUGAAGCCCUUUCAUCAUGGGGAGCUGAAUCCAUAUAGCCCGUAGGUGGUUUAAGACAACUAAGAUACAAAACUCAGGUAAAGGUUGUAAUGGCAUGCUAAACUUGAUUUUCUUUUCCCGGCAGGUAUAUAUAUAUGUAUGGUUUGUGUGCAUAUGGAUGGUUUCACUUGAUUUUAUAAAUGAUAUUAUUUUAUCCUUAUCCCAAGUUCAUGCUAGCGUUCACCAGCUAACUCUUCUUCGGGUGGCUGUAUACCCACGCUAUGCAGGAAUCGAUUGUUUUACUCCUCCUACAUAGUGAUUGACUCAGGGAUAGCUGUUGAAUUAAAGUGGUGAGCUUCCAUCUUUCUGGAAGGCUCUAUUUCAUGUUAUGGAUAUUUUUAGACCUCUUGAUUUAUUUUUGGAUAAUGGUUUUGGCUAUGGUUGGGGCCAUGUCCCAAUAAAAUAUUCUCACUCUUUUGAUUAGAGGCUUUAUGGUACUGCUAUGGGUUGGAAUGGGCGGAAUCAGUAUUGGGGUCAACCUUAAUAUUGGCACUAGUAUUGUGUAUGACAUUAUUGGACAUAAUUUCUCACUAUUCCAUCGUAUUUCAUUUUGGGAUUAAUUAUAUUAUGUUUUAGAACUCAUUUUGUUGUGGCAUGGAUUAUAACCCUUGGUUCAGUAUUGGUUUGGCUUGGUGAUUUGGUUGGUACGGGUUGGUGAACGGGAUGACUUGGUGGGGUUGGUCUAGGAAUUGACCUAUACCAAAGUCAGUCCUUAUCCAGUUAUGCUAUCUUGUUAUAUGUACGGAGUUCAGCCAACUUAAGAUAUACUAAUGAUGGUUGGGUUAGGUAACGAGGGUGAUCCUCGAUCCUGGUUGGACUUAGGAUGCUCAUUACGACAAGGCCCCCAGUCGGGUAGUGUUAAGUUGGUAUCAGAGCUUUAGGUUCAUGGUCAAUUAGGAGUCCUCAAAUCUGUGUUUAGUAGAGUCUCUAUUUAGGGUGUGUAGCAUGCCAUACUCAUAAGAGAGAUGCUACAGGCAUUUAGGAAUAUUUCACUUUCUUGGUAUUUUAUUUUCAAGUUUGGAGUCUAAGGCCUGGAAUUCUUCUAUAAUCCCUGUUUUUUCACUUUUCAGAUCAUACCUCGAUGAUUUGGAAUACAAGAAAACUCUUCAGUCCCAUCUGGGGACAAUAUUAAUGGGGUACGUCCUACGUUCAGAGUUUAUCUUUGAUCUCAGGGUUCUUUCCCUGGUAAUUUUGGAGUUUCUCCAAUUGCUACUAGUCCUCUACAGGGUGAGGUGACUAAUGUGGAAUUUCACCAGUCUAUUCAUACUAUUUCUCAAAUGGUUGCUGCUCAGGCUAAGUGGGGUACAUCUGGUGGUUUGUCUGCUGAGUCCAUAAGGGUCGGCCAAUUUAUGAAGAUAAGUCCUUCUACCUUUAUUGGAGUGAAGGUAAAAGAGGAUCCAUAGGCUUUCUUGGAUGAAAUGGAGAAGAUAUUUUGGGUGAUGCUGUCUACCAAUAUGGAUGGGAUAAACUUUGCAGCUUAUCAGUUCAAAGACAUUACAUACCAAUGGUAUAAAGAGUGAGACAGAUAUAUGAGUGAUGUGGAAGAAUCAGUCUCGUGCGAUAUUUUUUCUAAGGCCCUCUUAGAUUAUUUCUUUCCUCAAGAGCUGAGAGAAGCAAAGAUGGAAGAGUUUGUGAAUCUCAGGAAGUGGAGGAUAUCUGUCAAGGAAUAUGCCUUAAAGUUUCAUCAGCUGUCAAGGUAUGCUCUUGAUUUUAUGGCUAACAUGAGAGUGGGAAUGAUAAAAUUUGUUUCUGGGUUAAAUUGGAAUUUGAUCUUGGAAAGCAAGACUGCUUUACGGAUUGAAGAUGUGGACAUUUCCAGGUUGACAGUUCAUAUGUAGUAGGUAGAGGAUGAGAAGAGGAAAUAAGCAGUGUUUGGAGAUCGACAGGGUAAGAGGAGUAGGUUUUGUAAUCAGGGAUGUGCAUAGUAUUAGGAUAGUCAGGAUGGCAGCAUGUGGCAUAAAAAAGUGGGGGAGUUCUGGAUCCUUUUCUACUUUUAGUGAUCCUUAGCCGAAGCAAUUGGGUGACAGGCGUCAUCAAGGUGGUAAUAAUUUUCAGGCUUUGGGUGCCCAAUCUCAAGAAAGCGCAGGUCCAUCAAUUUUUUUAUGCCCUUCUUGUCGGUUCUAUGGUUAUCCUCAUUAGGGUUAUUAUGAUGAAUAGAGGGACAAGUGCCUCAAGUGUGGCCUAGCAGGACAUUGUCUAUGGGAUUUUCCAGUUAAUAAGGUUGCUACGGGAGAAAAUAAGGUACCGGUGGCUUUAUAUUCUGGUCCUACACCCGAUGGUGCCGCGUCUUCUUCUGUUACUACUUCUAGUGCUAGUGUUGGUCAGAACAAGUUGUAUACUUUGGUGUCCUGACAAGAAUCGGAGGCAGCGCCUGAUGUCAUUACUGGUAUGUUACAACUCUUUUCUUGUGACAUGUAUUUUCUUCUUGAUCCAAGGUCCACUCUUUCUUACGUGACCCCAUUUAUGGCUGUAUGUAUUGGUUUUGAUCCUGAGGUUAUUUCAGAUCCUUUUUUUAUUUCUACCCCUGUAGGUGACUUGGUUAUUGCUAAGAAAUUCUAUAGGGGUUGUGUGAUAUCUGUAGGUGGUAGGCGGACUUUGGUAGAUUUGUUUGAACUUGAUAUGGUGGAUUUUGAUAUUAUUCUGGGGAUGGAUUGGUUACACUUUUGUUACAUGUCCUUGGGUUGUUGGACCCAUAAGGUUUUCUUUAGGUUCACUGGUGAACUGAUUAUAGUGUGGUAGGGUGGUUCCCUAGAUCCUAGGGGGAGGUUUAUUUCUUAUCUUAAAGCUAAAAGGAUAAUCUCUAAAGGCUGUCUUUAUCACUUGGUUCAGGUUAAAGAUUCAAAUAUGGAAAGCCUUUCUUUACAGUUAGUUUCGGUGGUAAAUGAGUUUUUUGAGGUCUUUCCGAAUAAUCUCCCUGGUGUUCCUCCAGAUAGGGAAAUAAAGUUUGGUAUUGAUUUGGUUCCGAACACUCGUCCAAUAUCUGUUCCUUUUUAUAGAAUGGCUCCGGAUGAGUUGAGGGACUCAAGGAGUAACUUAAGGAUCUUCUGGAUAAGGGAUUUAUUAAUCCUAGUGUAUCCCCAUAGGGUGCAUCGGUGUUGUUCGUAUGUAAGAAGGACGGUUUCUUUUGGAUGUGCAUUGACUAUAGACAGUUAAAUAAGGUGAUGAUCAAGAACAAGUAUCCUCUCCCUAGGAUAGAUGAUCUAUUUGAUCAGUUGCAAGGUGCCAAGUUCUUUUCUAAGAUAGAUCUUCGGUUUGGGUAUUGUCAGCUAAAGAUUAAGGAGGUAGAUAUCCCUAAGAUAACUUUUUGUACUCUAUAUGGGCACUUUGAAUUCUUGGUGAUGUCAUUUGGGUUGACUAAUGCUUCAGUGGCAUUGAUGGAUUUGAUGAACAGGGUUUUCUGGCAGUUCUUGGAUCUUUUCAUCAUUGUGUUUAUUGAUGAUAUUCUGGUUUAUUCCAAAAGUGAGGUGGAUCAUGCUAAUCACCUCCAUGUGAUAUUGCAGACCAUGAAGGAACAACAGUUGUACACCAAGUUCUCCAAGUGCGAGUUUUGGUUAAAAACUGUGACUUUUCUUGGUCAUAUUAUUUCUGGUAAGGGGAUCAUAGUAGAUCCACAAAAGGUUAUUGUGGUUAAGAGGUCGCCUAGAACCACGACUCCAACCUACAUUCGGAGCUUUUUGGUCUUGGCUGGGUAUUUUAAGUGGUUUAUGGAAGGCUUUUUAUUAAUAGCUGGCCCUUUGACUAAGUUGACUCUGAAGAAGGUUAAGUUUUUUUGGUUCGAUGCUUGUGAGGGGAGUUUUGAGAAGUUGAAAGGUAAGCUGACUUUAGUUUCAAUUUCAACUUUUUCGGAAGGUAAUGAUGAGUUCGUGGUCUAUUGUGAUACAUCUCGAGCAGGUCUUGGUUGUGUUUUGAUGCAACAUGGGAAGGUGAUUGCCUAUGCUUCCAGGCAAUCGAAGGUACAUAAGAGGAGCUAUCCUACUCAUGAUUUGGAGCUGUUGGAGGUUGAGUUUUUUUGAAAAUAUGAAGGCAUUAUUUUUAUGGUGUACGCAAACAUCUUUUUUGAUCAUAAGAGUCUACAGUAUGUGUUCACUCAGAAGGAGCUUAAUCUCAGGCAGGGAAGAUGACUUGAGCUUCUCAAGGACUAUUAUAUGAGUCUUCACUAUCACCUAGUUAAGGCUAACAUGGUUGCUGAUGCUCUUAGUAGGUUGUCCAUGAGGAGUUUGACUCAUGUGGAGAAAGUAAAGCGGGAGUUAGUGAAUGAUAUUUACUGCUUGGCUAAUCUUGGAGUUUGCCUCUUGGACUCCAAGGAUAGAGGUGUAAUGGUACAAAAAGUGGUUCAAUCAUAUCUUUGUGCAGAGAUUAAGGAAAAGUAAGUGUUGGAUCCUGUCUUGAUGAAAAUCAAGGGUGAUAUUGGUGGGAAAAAGGUGAUGGUGUUUGAGAUCUGUGGUGACGGUACUUUAUGGUACUUAGAGAGGUUGUGUGUUCCUGAUGUCGACAGUUUGCACAAAAGAUUUUGGUUGAGGCACAUGAGUCAUACUAUGUUGUUCAUCCCAGUUCUACAAAGAUGUAUCAUGAUCUCAAGGAGAUGUAUUGGUGGAACGGUAUGAAGAGGGACGUGGCUGAUUUUGUGUCCAAGUACUUGGUGUGUCAAUAAGUAAAAGUUGAACACAUGAGACCUGGUAGGUUAUUUGAAGAGAUUGAUUUACCCGAAUGAAAAUAAGAGGUAAUCAAUAUGGAUUUCUUUACCGGCCUUUCUAGAUCUCGAAAUUAAUAUGAUUCGAUUUGGUUCAUCAUGGAUAGAAAGUCAAGGUCUGCUCACUUCUUGCCAGUCAGGACUACUUUUUUGGUGGAGAAUUAUACGAAGUUAUAUCUUCAGGAGAUUGUGAAGCUGCAUGGGGUACCUAUUUCGAUUAUUUCUGAUCGUGGCACGCAGUUUAAGUCUUACGUCUAGCGGUCUUUCCAGAAAGGGUUGGGGACUAAGGUCAGUCUGAGUACUACUUUUCAUCCGCAGAUGAAUGGACAGGCAGAGAAACUAUUUAUAAAUGAGAGGAUAUGCUUCGGGCUUCUGUGAUUGAUUAUGAUGGCAAUUGGGUUGAUCAUCUACCUUUUGGUAGUGUUUGCUUACAACAAUAGUUAUCAUACUAGUUUUUGUAUGGAUCUUUUUGAGGCAUUGAAUGGUAGGAGGUAUAGAUCUCAUAUUGGUUUGUUUGAGCUUGAGGAGGUUGAUAUAUUUGGUCCCGACUUGAUUUACCAGGCUAUGUAGAAGGUGAAGGUGAUUCAUGAUAGGCUUAAGGUUUCCCAAAGUUGCCAAAAGUCCUAUGAGGAUAUUAGGUGUAGAGACUUGGAAUUUGAAGAUGGGGAUACGGUUUUCCUCAAGGUAUCUCCCAUGAAGGGAGUAGUACCGUUUGGUAAGAAGGGAAAGCUCAGUCCUUGGUAUGUCGGUCCUUAAGAAAUUCUGUGGAGGGUUGGUAAUGUUGCUUACAAGUUGAAGUUAACUUCUAGCUUGUGCUCGGUUCUUGACAGCGCUCAAGCACACACGCAAGUGUACAUGGUCUACCAAAUAAUAUAGUGGCCUUCAAGAAAGCUGAGUUAUUGAUCCCAUAGAGACUAGAUUUGACAAUGAUUUGAUUUUUCCCAUGAAGGGAGUAGUAUGAUUUAGUAAGAAGGGAAAGCUCAGUCCCCGGUACGUCGGUCCUUAUGAGAUUCUGCAGAGGGUCGGUAAUGUUGCUUACAAGUUGAAGCUAACUUCUAGCUUAUGCUCGGUUAUUGACAGUUCCCAAGCACACAUGUAAGUAUACGUGGUCUACCAAAUAAUAUAGUGGCCUUCAAGAAAGACGAGUUAUCGAUCUCACAGAGACUAGAUUUGGCAACGAUUUGAUUUCUAUUCACAAUUUAGAUUAACUUGAUACGAGAGUAACCAGAAAGAGAGUUUUGAGUUUAUAAAUGGCAAGUAAAGCAAAUAAUGCGUAAAGUAAAGUUCUUGUAACAAUUAGUAGGAUAAAACCCAGGGUUGAAGCACUCUGAACAAUCAUAUUAUGCUAUUGAAUUUCAUUCGUUAACAUGCUUAUCUUGGUUGUUGAUUCUUAGGGUAAAUUGCGAGAUUACGGUUUCCCAACCUCUAAUAUUUUACCUAAGUUGAAGCUUACACCUACAUCAUUGAGAAGGGAUGUGAUAAUUCACUUAAGUUCUUAACAAAUAUUAUCCUACAUAUGAAUCAAGUAAGGUAUCUAAGUACAUCCCUAUCCUAGAUACUAAUUCAAGUUUCUUAUUUUAUAAAGAAUCAAGAACCAUACUUUGCUUAGUCCCAUGUUCUAUCACCCUAUUCCCUCUCUCGAGUUCACAAGGUUGACAAUGGAUGUAUUCAAAGGGUCGCGAAUCCUUAAAAUAUUUAAAACGAGAAUAAACAAACAACCAAUAUUGAUAAGCAAAGAAAACUAACUUAAUCCAUAGCAAUAAUAGUCAUGUUCUUGGCUUCAACCCUGGAAAGGGGGCGUCUAGCCACACAUACUCAUAAUUGUAAUCACAAAAUAUUAAUUAAUGACUAAAAACAUGAAUGAACUAAAUAAAAUUAAUAAAAACCUAAUGAAGAAGUUGUAGCAACCCUUUGCUCUCCAAAAUAUGCUAAAAAAUGUGUAAAAAUGUGAUACAUGUAUUUAUAGUAUAGGAGCAAGACCUUUCCGUGUUGUACAAGAAAAACUUCAGUUAUUGAGCCCCGGAAUAGGUAGGGCGGCACCUCAAUAUCGCCCAACCUCUCUGGAAUUUGUUCUCAGAAAAUUUUCUAAGGCAAAGGAGGCACUGAAAUGAGCCUGCGUCGCGGGCUAAUUGCCUCCAGGACCAAAACGCACCACAUGGAUGCAAAUUUUGUCCUCUUAUGAUUCUAUUGGUGUUUUAACACGUCCAUUGGCCACUUAUACAUCUCACACUCUCCCGAGACAUUCCAGGGGUCCAAAAGUGCGUCAAUCUGCGAUUGUGACUUUGUUGAGCCAUUUUGAGCCUUUUUUAGUUGUUCCCCCUUGACUUUAAGCCUUUAUGUCCUUCAUAUAUCAUCAUAAUAACAUUAAACACAACAAUUUAAAGCUCAAAACAGCACAAUAUCCAACACGACGAACUAGAAACACGAGCUAAGCAUAGGCUAAUUUUACUUUGAUCUUUAAUUCAUUGUUUUGACCCUUGGCUUGAUCUAAUUGAUCCUUGAGCAUUAUAAACAAGUUUUUCACAUAUAAAUAUCAAAUAACAACCUUAGGAACUCAUUAAAAAAAUUAGAACCCAAUACGAUAGACUAGACAAACACCUAGCUCAAGCUAGUAACACUAGUUUUCCAGGUUGAACUCUAAAUAAAUCUUUUAGGUACAAACUUUUUUGAAACUCACUUUUAACAUCAUAAACACAUGAUUUAACGUAUUUAUCUCAUUAUUAACCAUUAUAGCUUAGAAUCAUCCUUAAAAUAAGACUAAAAAGGCUAGACUAGUGAUGUUAGAAUGCAUAAAUACACCCAACAUUGGUUCUUCUGGUAUUUCAUGUCUCCAUGCCGAGGAAGUGUCUUAGUGAUUCUUAUUUGAUUGUUCCUUUAUAGGUGUUGGGUAUCUCAAACCAUUUUUAUUAUGAAGAGGUCCCGAUUAAGAUUUUGGAUAGACAGGUUUGUCAUUUGCGGACCAAGGAUGUGGCUUUGGUUAAGGUUCUAUGGAAGAUCCAUAUGGUGGAAGAAGCUAUAUGGUAAGCAUAUGAGGACAUGAAAUCUAAUUAUCUGCAUCUAUUUUUCUGCUCUUGGGAUUCGUGCGGAAGGUAUGUGUCUUCAACACAUUUUUAUUUUUUGAGUUUGUUAAAUGAAAGAUUAAUAUCUUUUCCUCUUUGUUUUCAAACUUUAUUAAAGAUUGGAAAUAUAUUUGAUAAUUCAAAUGACUCGUGCAUGUGGUUACCCCUACCUUAUUCGUCAUUCGGGGUUGAAUGUUUCUAGUGGGGAAGACUGAAACACCCUGGGUUUUGACCCUUAGAAAAUUUCUUGGAAUUCUAGUCUUUGGACCUAAUACAACUCAUGGGUAUGAUACGUAUGUUGGGGUAUGAAUGGUAUGGUCCAGUCGUAUGCCGACCAGUGUUGGUUGUGGGAUGAAUUUUGAUUACUGGAGUUGGUACGACUUGAAUGGUAUGAGUUGUACGAUUGGAUACAGGUUAUUUGGUUUGUGUUUUCCUUUGCUUAAUCUUAGACUUGGUCGAAUGAGUUGGAUCUAAGUAUGAACGGGUCACUAUGAGACAUAGUCAUGGUACGAAUUAUUCUAGGGACUCGUAUGGUGGAUAGUGUUCAAACCUUCUGUGAUUCUAUCCUACUAGGGAUAUGGGUGAAGUGUAUAUGCUGUCAAUACGACUUAGGUAGGAUGUGUCGUACACUGUAAAGUGUUGGUUCAAGGGUUGAGUCUUAUAAUAUGAGUGGUGGGUACUACUCGUAUUGAAGGGUAUGACUCGUGAGGGUCAAUCGUACCUCUAUGAUGGGAUUUUUUUGCAACUUAAGUGAGGGUAUUCUAUAGAGGCUAUUUACCCUAUUAUUAUAUUCAAUAACACUUAGAAACUCUUCCUAAACACCCUAUAAUUCUCUCAAGAGCUUUUGGUCAAGAAAACUAGGGUUUCAGCUAGAGGACUAAUUUGGGGGAUCUUCUUGGUGGUUUCUCUUUAUCUACUUUGUCAAUUAAGGUUUGUUCUCUUUCAUCACUGUUAGUUUCAACUAAGGCAUGGUUUUUAUGAAUGGUUUUCAUGAUUUUAUUGUUGUAUGAUUUUGGGUUUUCAACUAUAAUUUGGGGGUUUUGACUAUAAAUGAUUGGUUUUGGUUUCCCAUGAUUUUAAUUAUGUAUUUACAUGAUUAAUUGGUCGUUUUGGGUUAAUUGGAUUGAAUGAGAAUGGUUAAAUGGUAAUUGGAAUUGGUUUUAGUUAUAUUAUGCCAUCAAUGUGUUUGACAAAAUCCCUAUAAGAAUGUUUUCAUUGCAUUGAUCAUUUUUAAUAAAACUCUUGCUUGUUUUAAACAUGGUAAAGGAAUUAUGCAUGAUUUAAAUGGUUUGGAAAGGUAAAAAGGCUAAAUGUUUAUGCUUGUUGGGUAAAUGGGAAUCUCCUAAGUGGUUUAAUAUUGUUAAUGGAAGGGUACAUAGAAUUCCUUAAACUUGUAUAUGAUCGGCUAUGGAGUAAACUUGCAAGUAUAGUCGGUAUGACGAUACCACUACUAAUGGACUUGGUUAAUAAAUGGUAUAUGAAUUGGUUGGUUGCUUGGCAAUGGUUUUAAUUGGGCAAUAAUGGUGGGGUGUGUAAAAAAUUUAUGGAAGGUGAAGGUCGGGGGGGACCAAAACUGGAAACUCAUAUUUGCCGAUGUGAGGUCUGGUCUAAGUGACAGUGUGCAUGAUGUUACACUUUAUAUUUAGGGGAUGUACUAAUCAUCCCAAGUUUUCUUACAUGGUCAUACGGCUUCUCAUACCGGGGCCCUUUCAGCAGGGGGAGCUGAUUCCAUAUAGCCCCUGGGUGGUUUAGGACAACAAUGCUACACAACCCAGGUAAGGAUUUUAAUGGCAUGCUAAACUUGGUUCCCUUUUCUUGGCAUGUAUAUAUAUAUGUAUGGUUUGUAUGCAUAUGGAUGGUUUUACUUGGUUUUAUAAAUUGCAUUAUUUUAUUCUUAUCCUGAGUUCAUGCUAGCGUUCACUCACUAACCCAUCUUCGGGCGGUUGUAUACCUAUGCUAUACAAGAGGCAUUCAUUCUACUCCUCCUACAUAGCGAUUGAAUCGUGGACAACUGUUGGAUUGAAGUGGUGAGAUUCAAUAUUUUUGGAAGGCUCAAUUUCAUGUUAUAGAUACUCUUAUUUCUGGAUAAUGAUUUUGGCUAUCGUUGGGGCCAUUUCCCAAUAGAAUAUUCUUACUCUUUUUGUUAGAGGCUUUAUGGUACUGCUAUGGGUUGGAAUGGGCGGAAUCGAUAAUGGUGUCACCCUUAAUAUUGGAAUUGGUAUUAGGGUUGACAUCAUUGGACAUAAUUUCUCACUGUUCCAUUGUAUUUUAUUUUUGGAUUAAUCAAAUUAUGUUUUGGAAAUCAUUUGGUUAUGGCCUAGUUUAUGGCCCUUGGUUCAGUAUUGAUUUGUCUUGGUGGUUUUGUUGGUACUGGUUAAUAGACGGGAUAACUUGGUAGUGUUGGUCUAUGAAUAAACCUAUCCCAAAGUUAGUGCUUAUCCAGUUAUGCUAUCUUGUUAUAUGUUUGGAGUUCAGCCAACUCAAGGUAUACUAAUGGUGGUUGGGUUGGGUAACAAAAGGUGGUCUCAAGUUCCGGUUGGACUUGGGAUGCCCAUUAUGACAACGCCCCUAGUUGGGUCAUGUCAAAUACUUUUAUAUUUUAAUUUUUAGUCGUGCAGGUUGUUCUUAUCCAAUGUUCUAAGUUGUGUUUUACUUUUUUCUAUGUAGAUGGUAAGGAAUAGGUAUCUAGAGGCUAGGGAUGCUGAGACUGCACCCGAGGAUGAAUCCCUCGCUAAAGGGAGAUGCAGGAGUUGUUGACGACCUAACAGUAGAGGACAAGCGUUAGGAUCUUCCCCAAUUAGAGGAUAUGCUAAAAAGACCUCCCUUGUGCCCUAGAUUAUGUAUUCAAUGAAUGAUUAUCAAAUAAGAGAUGCGUGUUCAGCCCAGGUUCCACAGGUUUCAGUCGACACUUAGUGCUUAGGGGUGCUUUGGUUUGUCUCUUGAGUCACUUUGAGGGUGUUCCCUUCAGUGUAGCUAGUAUUCUUAGAAUUUGAGUGAUGUUCCACCAUAAGUGUCAACAUCUACUUAUGGUAUUCUUUAUUUUGGUGUGAAACCAUUAUCUAUGGUACCCCCACUUAUAGACUCAUUACUUGUCAGACUUUCUAUUCCUGCAAAUGCUUUAGGUACAGUUAUGUCUUUUGAUGAUUAAAAAAGGUUUGAGAAGUUUAUAUGCUUGGGUCCUCCUAAGUUUAGUGGAGUUAUUAGCGAGGAUGCCUAUGAGUUCUUCAUUGAUUUCCAGGAUAAUUUACAUUAUCUUGGAUCCCUUGAGUCUCAUGGAGUUGCUUAUACUACCUAUUAGUUCACGGAUGUGUCUAGGAUUGGAAAAGAUCGAUUGCCAAUUGUAGGCCUUUGGAUUUUCCUGUUAUGACCUGGACUUAGUUUUUUGAGGCUUUCUUGGAGAGGUUUGUGCCAUAUAGCUUGAGAUAUCAUAUGUGUGAUGAGUUUGCUCACUUAGAGUAGGGCUCUAUGACUAUUGCAGAGUAUGUGGCUUGUUUUCAGACUUUAUCUAAAUAUUUAGCUGCUAUAAUCUCUACUAACUUUGAGAGGCUUCCAAAGUUUGUGAAGGGGUUAGAUGGUACUUAUCAAUUAGAUAUAACCCAAAUGGUAGUCUUUGGGGAUUAUUUCCAGAGUAUUAUUAAGCAUGCCUAGAUGACCAAGUCUAUUAUCCAGGCUAUUUAGGGAGGCACCAAAAAAGUACAUCGUCAGGGUGAGUUUAGUGGACACUCCUCCUGAGGUAGAGAUUUUUCUAGUAGAGGUUCUCGUGUUUAUCGUCGUAGGGUAGUUCAGGCUGUAUUGCAGGGAUCAGUGGUAAACCUUUAGGUUCUACGACUUCUGGUAGCCAGAUGUCCGGUUGUAUGGGCAGAGUAACUAGGAUUGGUUUUUCAUGUUAGGGCGGUCAUUAUUGUUAAUCCAUACCUUGUGAUAUUGAGUCAGGCCAUAGAGGAUGUUUUGAAUAUGAUGAGUUUAUCCGUAAGGCUAAGGAUUUCCCUUCCCGUGUGUAUGGAUCCACUAAGCAGAGUUUUCAUCUUCACCUAUGCCCUACUUUAAUUUCUGUGGUGAAAGGUGGUUCACAGAGUGAUACUAGAGGUGCUAGAGGUAGAGGUAGGGUGCUCGUGAAGGUGGUCGCAUGAUUACUUAUUUAGAAAGUAAACAUGGAUAGUGUUAUGCUAUCCUUGGGAGUUCUGAGGUAGAGGAUUUUGAUAUAUUUAUUAUUGAUAUCAUCCCAGUUUGCUACAGAUCUGCUUCUAUGUUAUUUGACCCCAGGUAUGCAUUCUCCUACAUGUCUACAUAUUUUUUUUCUCAUUUUGAUGUUAUGUAUGAAUCUCUUACUAUGCCUCUUCAUGUUUAUACCCUUGUAAAAGAUUCUUUAGUUGUGGAUCGGGUGUACAAAUCUUAUGUGGUUAAUUUUAUAGGUCGUGAGACUUAGGUAGACUUGAUUGUACUAGAUAUGGUUAAUUUUGAUGUUAUCUUGGGUAUAGAUUAGUUAGCUCCAUAUUAUGCUAUUUUGGACUAUUGUACUAAGACGGUGACCUUGCCACGCCGUGUGUGCUGAGGUUAGCUCGGACGGGUAUGCUUAAUUUGGGUUCAAAGGGUGUUAUAUACUUUUUGCGUGCUCAUCGCAUGACAAAGAUGUUUUUUUUCUUAUUUAGCUCAUAUCUGCGAUACUAGCAUUUCCUCACCGCUUCCCAUGGAUUUUAUUUGGGUUGUUCUCAAGUUCAUAGAUGUGUUUCCUACAGUUUCACCUGGUAUGCCUUCGGAUUGUGAUAUUGAUUUUGCUAUUUAUGUAGAGCCGAGCACCGCAACUAUUUCUAUUUGUCCUUAUAGGAUGGUACCAAUUGAGUUGAAGGAAUUGGAGCAACACUUGUAAGAUUUAUUGAGUAAGGAAUUUAGUAAACCUAGUGUAUCUCCUUGGGGUGCUUUCGUCCUGUUCGUUAAGAUGAAUGAUAUUUAUGUGUACGUGCAUUGAUUAUAGGCAGUUGAACAAAGUAACAAUUAAGAACAAGUAUACUCUUCCUUGCAUUAAUGACUUUUCUUACUAGUUUCAGGGACCUUGGUGUUUUUAGGAUUGAUUUGAGAUUCAGGUAUCAACAGUUAAAGAUUGGGGUUUUAGAGAUACCAAAAAUGGUUUUUCGGAUUCGAUACAAUCAUUAUGAGUUCUUAAUCAUGUCUUUUGGAUUGAACAAUGCGCCAACAACGUUCUUGAAGUUGAUGAACUGGGUGUUUCAGCCAUAUCUCAUCUCCUUUAUGAUUGUAUUUAUAUUUGAAAUCUUGGUUUAUUCCAAGAGUGAGUCCGUUCAUAUGAAGCAUUUGAGGAUUGCACUUCAGAGCUUACGUGCAGAGAAGUUGUAUACUAAGUUUCCUAAGUGUGAGUUUUGAUUGGAUUCUAUCUAUUUUUUGGGUCAUGUGGUGACUAAGGAUGGAAUUAUGAUUGAUCCAUCCAAGAUAAAGGAGAUUCAUGAUUGGACUAGAUAUACUUCUCCUACUAAGAUUUAGAGUUUCAUUGGUUUUGCAGGGUAUUAUCAAUUUUUUGUAGAUGGUUUCUCAUCUAUUGCAUCUUCUUUGACCAAGUUGGCUCCGAAAGGUUGAUUUUUCAAUGGUCGGAUGUGUAUGAAAAGAACUUCCAAGAGCUCAAAAGUUGCUAGCUUCGGUUCCGAUCUUGACUUUGCCCAAGGAGGGUAUGGGUAUUACCAUGUUUUCUGAUGCUUCUAGUGUUAGUUUGGGUGUGGUGUUAAUGUAGGAGGGUAGGGUGAUUUCUUAUUCCUCUUGUAAGUUAAAGUCUCAUGGGAGAAAUUACCCUAACCAUGAUUUGAAUUUGGCAGCCGUAAUGUUUUGUUGAAGUUGUGGUGUCAUUACUUGUAUGGAGCUUCUUGAGAGAUUUUCUCAGACCAUCAUAGCCUUCAAUACUUCUUUAUAUAGCUAGAUCUUAAUAUGAGACAUUGACGUUGGCUUGAGUUACUUAAGGAUUAUGACCUCAUUAUUUUGUAUCAUCCCGACAAGGCUAAUAUAGUUGAGGAUGCCUUUAGCCAGAGGUUGACACAAUACAGUCUAAUUUAGAUUGGGUUAUUAUUUUUUCUAUCCAUUUUGGACUCAAUUAUUUUAUUUUGAGUUUUUUCUUACACCUAUAAAUAUUCCACAAAAAUAGUUUUUAUAUAAAUUUCAUAACUUUUUUGAAAAUUUUGAAACUUUGGAACUUCAUUAUUUUUUAGAACUUGUGAACUUUUAAUUUAUUUAGAGAAAGAUUGGAGUCAUCAUGGAGGCAGGAGAAAAUUAGUUUAUUCUUUUCUUCUCCAUCUUUAAUAAUUUUUUUUUUGAGAUUUUAAGAUUUCGGCUUAUUCUAUUCAAUUUGUGAAUUCAGAAUUUUGUCUAUGAUUUCUACUUGUGAUUUUAAAGCCAUGAGUAGCUAAAUUCCACAACUAGAUUUGUGGGAACCAUGAUGAAUUAAAGAGUUGAUUAAAGUGCAUAGUAAUUCUUAAAUGGUAUUUAUGCAUGUAUUGUUGUUUCCUUGAGUUUGACUGCUUUCUGACGGUUGGAAACGUUAGAAUUCAACCCAUCAUUACUAUUGACUUUAUCAAGGGUAGUCGAAUGAGAAAAGUGAAUCAACUAUAAGACUUGGAGUUAUCUUCAUUUAAUUAGCCAUGAGACAAUAAACGGAAAAUACUAUAUUGGGAUCAUAGAUAGAGGUUAGUAAUGCAAAACUCGUGACACAUGAACCUUUGUGCUUGAGGAUAGUCAUCUACAACAGGUAAAAUCUAGUCGGUUAGAUGAUACACAACCUAUCGAUUAUGAAUGCAAAAUACCACUGGGGAUCACUGAAGUACGAGAACCUAUAGAAUUAUGAAGUUAUUGUGGAACACAGUCCUAAUGCCAUUCUAAUAAUGAUUACAAAUUCUACAACUCAACACUUGUUACUAUUGAUUUUUUAUUUCACAAAACCCCCCUCUUUUACUUAUUUAUCAGUUACUUUGAAAAACACUUGAUAGAAUUUUGGCCUAUUCCAUGUAAGAUCGACUUCAACCUUAUUGAGUUCUAUAUUUGAUCAGCGACAACUUUAUAUUUUUUUGAAAGGUGUAAUUUGGGCGACAUCAAAUUUUGACAUUGUUACCGGAGAAUACGAUUUAGGAUUUGUUUUACUAUUUAUCCUUAUUUCUUGUAUGUAUUUUAUUUAUUUCAUAAUUUUUUAUUAUUUUAUUUUUACUUUUUAUUUAUUUAUUUUUAUUAUUUUUAAAUAUUUUGCUAUUUUUCUUGACAUGACAUCCUUACAAGAGAGAAUGCGGAGUGAUGAGGACUCCUAUUUUGUUGAUCCUUAUCCUUUUGAUAUAUGAAUUAUUGGACAAGUGUGAUAGAUAUAUUGUGUGAUUACAAUGAGAGCAUGAUAGAAACAUUGACAUACCUUGCAAAAGCAAAACAUGAGUUCAUUCAAGAGGUUGAUAGGUUUGGCUUGUAUAUUUACAACUUAAAAGAAGAUUUGACUACAAGGUUGAUACAUGUAAUGUCCAACAAUUUAAUUAAGUUGUGUGAGGUUAAAUAAACAUACUUGUAAUUCAAAUUGAGGAGUUAAAAUUGGAGGACCAACUACUUGAUCAUACUUUUAUUGAUGUUGUCACCGUUGAGAAGAGAACACUAGAGUUAUGUGAGGAAGUAGCUAAUGUUAUUUUUAAAAACUCUUGUGUAUGUAAAUGUGAGGAUGUAAAUAGUAAUACAAUUUUUAAGUUAAGACAUAUUGAACCUCAUUCUUAUUAUUUUCUCCACAUUGUGUUUAGAUAGUAAGAUAUUAAUAGAACCAUCUAUGCCUAGGGAAGAGUGUAAAAAGAAGAAAACUAUAUUUAUAUUCUUAAAUUUUGUAUGUCAAAUAAAACAUUCCUCAUUUGAGGGCCAAGAAUUGCGACAUACGACUUCCAUUAUUUGGUUUCUUUAUCUUUAUACCGCCACCUCUUGAGCAUAAUAGAAAAUUAAAAAAUAAGUUAAGGGUGCAAUUCAUAAUUUCAAAGUGGAAAAAAAAGUGGAAUGCAACCCAACUAGUAGUAUAACUUCUUAUAUUUUGUUUAUUUUUAUUAUGUCACAGUUUUUUCAAAUUUAUAUGUUUAUCUUUUUGUUUUGCUUUUUUGUUUGUUUGUGCAGAUUUAGCGGAAGUCCGGGUACCCAAAUUUUAAGCUAAAAAACAUGUUUGAGUUUAAGCGUCAAGUGCGCGUGAUCCUUGAUGAAAAUUGAAGAAACAUGUUGCGAGCUAGGCCUUAGAGGGUUUUAGUGAGUAUCUUUAACCUUCGUUUUACUUUAUUUAUUGCUUUGGAGACAAUGCAUGAUUUUAAGUGUGAUGUGGGAUAGCUUUAUCUUUCAAUAUUUGUUAAGGGUGAAGUAUAUUAUAGGAUUUUCUUUUAUUUAUUUAUUUUUAGUUGAAAAAAGAAGAAAGAAAAAAAAUUGAAAAAGUCCAAUAAAUACAAAAAAGAUUUUAUUUUUAUUCUUUAUAUUAAAAUAAUUUUUAUUUUUAGUGUUUUUUCGUAUCUUUACUAGAGCAUACUUUGCCAACCCUUAAUUUUUCUUUUCGAUUCUUUUUUUUUGGGGUUGGGUUGGGGAGGGGGGGGGGAGCUUUGAACCAUGUUAUUUCUUUCUUUUUAGAAAUAAUAUUUUCCUUUUAUUUUUUAUUUGUAGGCAUAUAUUUUUUUUUGGAGUGAAAAGAAAAGAUUAUUUUUUGGGUGAUACUAGCAAUUCAGGCCUAAUAUUGAGUAGUACUUUUUUUUUUAUAAAUGUUUGAGUAUAAAAUAAAAUAAUAGACUUUUUGACACCCAACCUCAUGAUUGUGACUCUAUAUAUAACUUAUUCUUAUUUUUGUAGUUUGGUAUGACCCUAUAUAUGUUAGAAGUGGAAUUUAUCCAUCUUGUGCCAUGUUUGAUGAGGAUUUUUUGCAUAUAGUCCAUGUUUUAAAUCUUAGUUUAGAACUUGCCCUACAUGUUAUUAAAGCGAAAUAAAAAGUAUUGCUUUGUUUAGAAUAUGAUAAUAGACUUUCUUUGAUAUGACUUGUAAAUGUUAGUCUUUUUCAGAUAUUAUAUCACUAGUUAACCCCUUUGAGCCUGGAGCCUAUUUUUUUGCUAGGCAUGUUUUUACCUUGAUCUGUUUUUUGAAUCCCUAAUUUUUAUAUCCUCCUUCCUUGAGCAUUAUAUAUAGAAAGUACUGAAAUUGUUGAAUUUGAAGAAAAAGAAUGGUCGAGUGUAAAAGGUGACCAAUAAUAGCUAUAAAGUGAUGAAAAGAUCCUUUUUGAAACAAAGUGAGAAAAAAAAAGAGAAAAAAAUUGUUUGAAUUUUUUUGAUUGAAGAAUUGUUGAUUUGAUGAGAAAUACUAUUGAAAAUAAUUGAUGAAGAAAAGGCUAAAAAAGUGAUGAAAUAAAAAUGGGUGAUGGAGUCUAAAAAAAUGCAAAGUACUUAGGGAAGUGUAAGUCACUAUUAUAUAGUUUUUUUAACUCAUCCCCUGGUUAACAUUACAACCUGCUGAAGUCCUAAUUGAUUCUAAUUAAGCAUGCUUAAUUAGUGGAUAUGUACAUAAUGAGCAAACCUAUAGUUUUUUGUGCAUACAUGUUAAUUCAUUGUGAGUGUAAGAGUUGUUGUUUGAUGUUAAGUCCUUAAAUUAUAUUCAAUUUUUUGAACUUAGAGUGUGUACUAUUUCUUCUUGUGAGGGCACUAGUUUCAUGAUGGAUAGGUGAUGUUAUUAGGUUUCUUUGACAAGAAUAGAUAAGCGAACUUAAAUUUGACGAUUUAGAGUCCAUCUUUUAGAUUAGGAGGUUAGAGGUUUGUUGUUUGUUUAUACAUGUUGCAUAAUGAUCGAAAAGCGUACUUGAUGUUGUGAGUUGUUAUAUGGUCUAAUUGUUUGUAUCAACCAAAGUGGUGACAUUCCUAGAUUUGAUUAAUUGAGAUGAGUUUUAAUGUUUGCUUUAGGACGAGCAAAAGUCUAAGUGUAGGGUGUUGAUGUGAGGUCAAAAUUUCAUAUAUUUAGUCAUUAUUUGUCUUAUAUUUAAUAUUUUUAUUUGUCCUUUUUGAGCAUUGAUUUUAUGGAUUAUGCUUAGUAUCAUAUUUUUUUUUUGUAGGAUUAAGUUGGUGUGAGGAUAGAUAAAUUUGGAGCAAAAUUACUUAAAAAUGAAAGAUUGUACAAGAAAAUGAAGCAGACAACUUAAUAGAUUGAAUGUAAUAUUUCUUAAUUUACACAUAGAGAGCAACAAUGCAAAAGAUAAAUUGAACCUUAGCUACCAAGUGGCAGCAUGCAUGGAUUUGAGGAACAAAACAACAAUUGAGACGACCAUUAGUGAAUAAUGCAAAUUGAUGUCGCUCAAAUUACACGUCUCAAAAAAAUUAUAAAAUGAUCGCCAAUCAAAUAUAUGACCCAAUAAGGUUGGGGUCUAUCCCACAGGGAAUAGGUGAAGAUUCUAUCAAGCGUUUAUCUAAGUAUCUGAAAAAUAAGUAAAAGAGGGAAGUUUUGUGAAAUAAAAUAUCAAUAGUAAUAAGUGUUCAGUUAUUGGAUUUGUAUAAAUUUGAGAAAGGCAGUUGGACAGUGUUCCCCAAUAACUUCAUAACUUUGUAGGUUCUCAGUACUUCAAUGAUCUCUGGAGGUAUUUGGCAUAUAGAAUUGAUAGUUUGUAUAUCAUAUAGCCGACUAGAUUAUGCCUCUUAUAGAUGACUAUCCCCAAGCACAAAAGUUCAUGUGUCUUAGGUGUUGCAUUACUGACCCCUAUCUAUGAUCCUAAUGCAGUCUUUCCCGUUUACUGACUCAAGGCUAAUUAAAUGGAGAUAACUCCAAGUAUUUUUAUUGAUUCACUAUUCCUAUGUGAUUACCCUAGGUAAAGUCUAGGGUAGAUAUAGGCAAAGUUCCAACACGUGUACUCGUUAAAAGAGAACUUUUUCCAAAGAAUCAAUAGUACAUGCCUAGCUACCCUUCGAGAAUCACCUUGUACUUCGAACACAACUUUCUUAAUUUCCAUGGUUCCCAUAAUUAUAGUUGUGGUUUUUAGCUAUAUAUAAUUGCAGUUACACAAAAAUCAUUCAUUGAUGAAAACAUAACUAUGAACAUACGAUAACGAUAAGAAUAAGAAAACUCCAAAAUCUCAAUUCAAGGUAAAACCGUAAAUUCAGUAUUUGUGAAAUCCUAAGAAUAUGCCUUAGAAUCUCACAAUAUAAUUUUAUAAAAUUUGAAAGAGUNNNNNNNNNNNNNNNNNNNNNNNNNNNNNNNNNNNNNNNNNNNNNNNNNNNNNNNNNNNNNNNNNNNNNNNNNNNNNNNNNNNNNNNNNNNNNNNNNNNNNNNNNNNNNNNNNNNNNNNNNNNNNNNNNNNNNNNNNNNNNNNNNNNNNNNNNNNNNNNNNNNNNNNNNNNNNNNNNNNNNNNNNNNNNNNNNNNNNNNNNNNNNNNNNNNNNNNNNNNNNNNNNNNNNNNNNNNNNNNNNNNNNNNNNNNNNNNNNNNNNNNNNNNNNNNNNNNNNNNNNNNNNNNNNNNNNNNNNNNNNNNNNNNNNNNNNNNNNNNNNNNNNNNNNNNNNNNNNNNNNNNNNNNNNNNNNNNNNNNNNNNNNNNNNNNNNNNNNNNNNNNNNNNNNNNNNNNNNNNNNNNNNNNNNNNNNNNNNNNNNNNNNNNNNNNNNNNNNNNNNNNNNNNNNNNNNNNNNNNNNNNNNNNNNNNNNNNNNNNNNNNNNNNNNNNNNNNNNNNNNNNNNNNNNNNNNNNNNNNNNNNNNNNNNNNNNNNNNNNNNNNNNNNNNNNNNNNNNNNNNNNNNNNNNNNNNNNNNNNNNNNNNNNNNNNNNNNNNNNNNNNNNNNNNNNNNNNNNNNNNNNNNNNNNNNNNNNNNNNNNNNNNNNNNNNNNNNNNNNNNNNNNNNNNNNNNNNNNNNNNNNNNNNNNNNNNNNNNNNNNNNNNNNNNNNNNNNNNNNNNNNNNNNNNNNNNNNNNNNNNNNNNNNNNNNNNNNNNNNNNNNNNNNNNNNNNNNNNNNNNNNNNNNNNNNNNNNNNNNNNNNNNNNNNNNNNNNNNNNNNNNNNNNNNNNNNNNNNNNNNNNNNNNNNNNNNNNNNNNNNNNNNNNNNNNNNNNNNNNNAGUGUUAAAUCACACAAAAACCUUAUAGAAGUAUUUAUAGACAAAAUAAACCUAACCUAGCACAAAUAGAAAAUCUGGUUCAAUGGCAUUAGACGACAGAAAGGUACAAUCGUGGUUAGGACCAAGAUCAUCCUUUGAUUCUUGUGGUUUGGCUCAUGAUUUGUUCAUUUUCAAUUAUUGGCAGGUACACCUCUCAGUUAUUUCUCAGGGUUACUAUGCACGAUAGUGCCUAAUGCUCGUUUGAUCAUCCUCAAAUUAUCUACAGCCUUAAUAUCUGGGCCUUCUUUCUCUGACCUCAAGGUACGAUCGUAUGUUCAUUCCACGAUCAUGAUUGUCCCUUAUUUAAUGAUGCUCUCACUUAGAUCCUGCAACUUUGUUUUUAGGUCCUCCUCUUCAUGACUAAAAGGUGUGAUUGUAUGAAUAACAUACAAUCGUGGGAUCCCUUCGUCUGAUCACCUCCAGGGGACUCCUUUUUUGAUUUAACCUAUGAAAUACUUUGUACAAUCGUGUUUAGAUCCCACGGUCAUGCUUUCAUCUGGUUCUGAUAUAAGCAUGAAGAGCACAAAGAGUACAAGGUAUUGUGGACGGUUCAAGUUUUGGAUUUUUGCAAGUGAUUGAAAACCUUUUGGAGCCUUUUCAAAGCCUUGUACAAGUGAAGAAAGAAAGAGGGUCCUUACACUCAAGAGGUUCUUCUCACUAAGGGCAUGAUAGACUUUUUGCACUUCAAAAUAACACUCCAUAGGUGCCCUUUCCUAAGCCCUCACUAAGAACAUUUUUGUCAUUUGGUUGUAAUAAGUAUAAAUAGACCCUUUAGCUUGUAUUUUCCUUAUCUUUGAUGAAUAUUGAAAAAUUUCUCUUUAGUUGAUAAUUUUAGUCUUCUAGUUUAGUGUAGAAUCCGAAAUUAGGGUUAAUGCUAAGUGAUGGAUUUCACUUAUGUUGACAAAUUGGCAAGAAACGUUGGUGCUUGGGGAAGGUGACUCCCUUUGUGUCUACCUAAGAAUGAGGUGUAAUCAAUAUUGGUGAUUUGUGUUUAAGUGUUUAAUAUACACUUUAGUGCUUCUCAUUAGUGUUGGUAAAUGUCUCAUUAUCUAUACUUUUUCAUUUAAUGCAAUUUUCUUCUUGUUUCUACUUCAUCUCUUUCUUUAGUUUCUGAUUUUUCCUUCUUUAGUUUUGAAUUUCGGUUAUAUCUUUGUUUUAGCUAUCAGGUUCUCUUUAAGUCCCAUUUUUAGAGUUUUUUUUUUUUAGGCUAUUUAUGUUUGAACCCCCCAAAAAUCUGUCACAUCCAUAUAAACAUACCCCUGUACUUGCAAAUAUUCACCAUUUUAAGCUUCUAAAGUCCCAUAAAUUUACUACACAUAGACACCCUCAACUUAGAACAUUUGCAUGUCCUUUAGGAAAACUGAAGACAAUAAACUAAAACAAGAUGCUUAACCUAGAGAAAACAAGAAUACUACAAAAGUCCAAAUUUCACAAAAAUCACAUUGUCAGCAUGCAUACUCCAAAACAUAGUUCAACACCCUCUAAUAAUACUUAAAACCAACUAGUGUAGUGCAUAUUCUUGCUAAACACUAUAAAACAAUGGGAUCAAGACAUGACAAUUACAUUAACAGCAGACCACCUAACACAUUAGACAAAUGACACUACCUAAUCAAGUAGCUACCAAAAAAUAGACCUUAUACCCUCACAACAAAGAAGUCCCCACUCAGUGUAUGUAAUAUAAAUCAAAAAAUAGGAAGGACUCAAAUAUGUCACUCUCAUAAAGAAGUCUGGUUGUGUACGCAUAGUACGAUAGGCUUGCCUUUGUUUUCUACACCUUAGCUUUUGGACAAUCGAAUUAGGAUCACUAUAGGUUUUAUUGGAUUGUAAUACAGACGUGGGGGUAGGUAUGAUAUAUGGUAAUAGAGACUAACCCUCCUUGACACUACAUUAUUUUGGGCUUCAACCUUAUGUUUUUUCUUUUAUUUCUUUCCCCUUUUAGCCAUUGACUUUUUAAACUUUGGGUGCAGUUUUAUUUUCUUCAGCUUUUCUUUUUCUUUUUUCUUCUUGUAUUUUUUCCUUUUUUUUCUUAUAAUUUUGUUUUCUUUUAUUUUCCAUACUACAACCAUACCUCUUUAUAUUUUUACUACACAUUCUGCAUAGUAAACUUUCUAAGCACCCCUACAAUAACCACACUCAACUUAAGAAGAUUUUCCUGAUUUGAGGUAUACAGUGUCCAAGGAGGGACCAAGGUAAACAUAGGUUCAUUGGGAAGGUGAAUAGGGUAAUUUAAGGAAAAUGUCUCAUUAGACUCAAAUUUAGGGUUCAAAGGAUGAUAUGUUCAUUCGGUAGGCUAUUUUGGCUAUAGUAGACUAUUUUAAGAAUGACCUAUGAUUCUUUACUAACCUUCUGUUCUACAACUUUAGUGAAAUUAACCAGCCAAGUUAUACACCACACGCACACACCAACUAGGUACAUCCUCACACACUCGCAGUUCAGGGCUAUUAUUUCAGUCACUCCUUAAUUAGUUCAUACACAGUUUGGUUAAGUUCUCACACCACUUAUACUAAUUACAUGACGAGAUCUAAAUAGAGGUUAUAGUUCUAGAAAACACACAACAUAACACAAAACAAAAAUUUUUGAGGGGUAUCAUUUCAAAACAAAAAUUGCAUGCUUCUUCUUUUAUUUUGACUGAACCAAGUUUUAUCAACUUACCCUAAGUUACACGUAAGACAUAAUUAACAUAAAACAACAAAAAACAUAAAUAAACACCUAAAGAUACUAAUUCUAACUAAGAUAGCACAACUGAGGGAAAAGAAAUACAACAACAAAAACUCUCAAUUGUGGUACCCACCACUCCCAACUUAGAAAUCAUGCAAUGUCCCCAUUGCAUAAAAUUAUGAAAGUAAAUACCUGGAUAAAAUACAUGACUAUAUUGCACUAGACGUCCAUUAUACUCUGAUAGGUUGGGGUUCGAGAUGAGACCCCUCCAUCCGCUACCCCUCUCGUGGCCUCGUUUGUUGUUUAGGAACUUUUAAUAAUAUGGGUACUGAUGUUUGCCGGUGCAGUCAAUCUAUCAACAGUGAAGGCAGUCUGUGCAACCCCUAAUCUUUGCAUCACAACCUCAACUUCUAGUGGUACAUCAACACCUUUCGAUAUCACCGCCUUAGAGAUCUGUACAUUAUCCCUUAAUCUUUUUUUUCUUCCCAUGUUUAUCUUUAUUCUUUCCGUCCUCAUCUCUAGACCUCUUUUUUUAGGGUUACAAAUAUUUCCUUGUCUCCUCAAUAAUUGAAUCAUCCCUCUCAACUAUCAAGGCUCAACUAUAAAAAUUAGGGAUUAAACAGUUCAUGUUAAUAUCUAACUGCUCUGAUGAUGGCAUGGCAGGUGGUGGACGUGGUACAACCAAAAUAGUUUACUCAGUCAUAGUGUUGACUGCUUUAUUCAGUAUGGUUAGGUCAAUAGUGAAGGAGAUCAUUUAAGGUGCCUGGAUUGUAUCAACCUUAGCUAAAAUACCGCUUUCGAGCCUAUCGAAUCAGGUCUUAAGACCUCGCACCACAACUUAAUUUUAUCAGCUAUGUAGGGUUUAAACCAUACCUCCAGCUUUCUAAUUCGUGCAUCAUGAGUCCUCAAAAUUUGGGCCAGCUGAGCAGUUAGUAUCAGUAUAUAAUCAACUAGAGCAUAUAUAUAUAUAUAUAUACGCAAAGGUUCUGAGGUUAGCUGAGAAAGGAGAAAGUAGCAUGGGUUUAAGACCCCGAGAUCUUACUCGCAUAGAAAACUUCCACAACCUCUAUGGUACUUUUGGAAAAGAACCUCAGGACAGAGUUGUCGGGUUCCUAAAUUCCUUGAUCAAUUCCAAAUCCAUAGUCUUUAUUGGUUGAAUAAAUUUUUCGACUACCAUAAUAGAUAGCAUUUUUGAAUUUUGUAGCAACUGUAUGAUCAAUAUUGGGAAAGGCAAGGUUGUGGUGAAUUCUAAGACCCUAUCCCUUAUAUGAUAUGUAGAAUGUUCAAAUAAACCUCCACUAAUAAAUCUACUAUAAUACACACAUUUAUGGCACUCAAAGUGUUGUCACUUGCCGUGGGUGAGAUAUGGUGUCGUACAAUUGACCACUAAGACUUGGCGGUGAAUUUUAAUGUAUUUUUGUAAAUGGAUGCCCAUUAAUCCAUGAGGAAUUUUCUCCCACUUCUACAAUGCAGAUCAUCAACCACGUAUAGUGCAUAAAUUUAUCAUACAUGGCAACUUUUUCACCUUUUUUAAAUCAGCCAUUUGGAAAUCAUAUUUUGAAGUCUCCUCGGCUAUUACAAAAUCUUCUUCGAAUAGGACCUUUGAGAUUGACUUGAUGGAGAUAUCCACUUCCUUUCCCUGACUAAUACUUAAAUCUAAUCGGGGAUAUUUCUUUACGUCUUUGUCUCUACUGGAGAAGUGAUGUUUUUUUGAGUUCCAACACUAUUGGCAUAAAAUUCCUUUCAAGCUCUAUUCUAUAGAUAUGGAGGGGCUUAGUCAUACAACCUAAUUUGUACUUGUCAAAUAUCCAGACUACCUCAGAAACCUUUUAUAGUAUCUCAAGUAAUAGACAAGGUUCCUCUUAGAUGCCUAUCUUUUAAUUUCCAUUAUCCUUCAAGAACACUCCAUCCAGAUAAUAAUGUUUAGAGUUUGGCACACUCCAUCGUCUUAGAUUAGUCCAUCUAUAAACUGGAGCUGCAACUAAUCCAUCAAAAGAUUCAGGGUUAGAUUCCUCCUCACCCGUUGAGGAGCUUAUAUCCUCAUCAACUGCUUUAAUAUUAUCCCUCAUUUCCUUUCUUCUUCAGAUUGGGAAAGUUUUAUGGGGGUGGCAAAGUAAGAAAAUAGGUGAGUUGAACACGAGACGUUUAUAGAGUUGAGAAAUAAGAGAGAACACAAUCCUAGUGUUUAUCUUCUACUAUUUACAAACCUAAGCAUUCAAGUUUGGUUAGUACUUACUGUUUACUUUAAAAUCUCCUAUUUACUUGUCCGCACUACUUGUUUGAUUUUUUCAAGUUUGAGAUACUAUUCAACAUUUUUCCUAUGGUUCGACCCCAACCUGGUUUGGGUUACUAUAUUUGACAUUGACUGCAACAUACUUAUUUGGAGGUUAGUUUUGGACGACAUCAAAUUUUGGCAUCGUUACCGGGAAAGAUGGUGUGAAUUAUUGAUUAAAGUUGGUGAAGUUCGUAGGUUGUAUUUUGCGUUGUUGAUUUGGUACACGCCGAUGUAUAUCAAACACUAGUAGAAGAGGCAGUCCAUUACCCCUUUUGAUCUAGAGCUUGAAAGAAUUCUUCAAACAUCGAGAAGGAUAGUAGAGCAAGUUAUGAUGGUGUUCCUGUUGGGGUUCAAGACCCUCAUAUUGUACCUCUCCCCUACUUAAUUAUCCAUAGAAUGUUGUUGAUAGACAGACUGAGAAAUUUUUAACAGCAACAGCUGAAGAUACUAGAGUAGCUGAGGAAGCACGGUUAGUUGAAGAGGAUAGGCUUGCCCAGCAAGUAGCGCUAGCCAGUCCAAGACUAGUGGCCGAUAGUCAAGGUAGUGUUCAAAGAGGCAGAGCUCUAAUGAUUCCUGCAUAUCAGCAUCUUCAGCCAUAUGAUAAAGAUGAGAACAUGGGAUAUAUUGAACCUGCAGAGACAAGAGCCAUCAUUCCUCCUUCUCUAACACUAAUGUUAAGUUUGACAUUACAUGUGUAAUGAUCUAAUUUCUAAACUUGAUUGGUACAUUUUUGGGAUCAAUGACAGAUGAUGCAAAUAUGCAUCCUACUAAUUUUACUGGGAUCUAAACAUUGUAUGCUAUUCCAGGGGUAAACCAGGAAGCUUUGAGGUUAAGGUUAUUCCAUUUUUACUGACUAGAGAAGCAUCACUAUGGUUAGGCGAACUUCUGAGAGGUUUAAUCACUACUUGGCAUGAGUGACAUAGAUAAUUUUUGAACAAAUUAUUCCCUCAUACAAGGAUAUUACAAUUGAAAGAUGAAAUCUACAAUUUCAAAUAGCUACCUGCAGAAUCCAUGCAUGAGGCAUGGUUUAGGUUAAAAAAAAAGGUAAACAUAGUACCUAAUCACAUAAUCAUAGAAGCAAAUAUGUUGGAAAUCUUCAAUAGAUCACUAAAUAUCAGUUACAGAGCAAUGGAAGAUACGAUUUUGAGAGGUGCAUUUAUGCAUAUUUGAUGGGACACUGCACAAAAGAUGCUAGAUGAUAUUUCGGUGACCAAUCGAGGUUGGCAUACUAGAGAUACUGAGCAUGGUGCAGGUACAUACGCUAUUUGGGUAGUUAAUUAUUAUAGAGCUGGUCAUGAUUUGGUAUCAUAAGAGGUUUCCCAGCUCCAAACAAAUAUUGGGCUUCUUAUAAAACAAUUCGCAAUAAUGAAUGCUGAGAAAGUGAAUACAGUAGGGGUGCAGAGUUCUACUUCAAGAACUUACAAGAUAAAGUAUGAAGAAGAGGCAAAGAUCUUGAUAGUAAGCUGGUGAAUUUUUGAGCCCAAGGGCAUAAGAAUCAAGGUCGUAACUAUUACAAUGAUAGAUACUGUCACACUCCUUUUUCGCUUGAGGGAUCAAAGGAGUUUUCCAAUUAAAGUAACAAUUUUAAAUAGAGAUUAUUUUAUUUACAGAGUCGACACUUGGAAUUGAGUUAAGGUGUCCUAAGUCACCUUUUUGAAUCCCCAGUCAAAAUAAAAUGACUCUUUAUUUUGAUCUGUGAAAAUAAAAUACCGGAUAAGAAAUUUUAUUGAUCGAGGAAAAAGUGUAAGGCACCCCUCGAGUCCCGUGAUUCUAGCACGGUCCCUUUUAUUGAUUUAUCUUGAUUCAAACUAUUUUGAUAAAUUAUGUUAUGGCCUAGGUUCACUCAUUUUUAAUAUCUAAAAUUUAUCUAUAUAUAUCUUAUAUUAAACUAGUAAAAAUUAAUUUUUAGGACAAUCUUUGUCGAGGUGCAAUAUUGCAUCCUCGAAUUAUUUUUAAGCAUCUCCAAAAAGAUGCGUACGCUGUAUUUUCAAUCGAGAUAAAAUUUAAUUAUUUUAUACUUGUAUAACAUUUAAAAGCUUGCCUAUUCGAAGUGCUACCUAACCUUAACAAUAACUUUAAGCAAUAUUCAUUUAAGGUGGUCAAUUAAUUUAAUAAUAAAAAUUAUCAAGAUUUAUUGGUGCUGGAAAUAAAAAUACACAAGCUACAUAUUAUGUUAAUAUUUAUGAUAACCUCCAGAUCUAAUCGCUCUAAAUUAACACAAAUGCAAAACCCCAAAAUCUAAUUCAAACACAAAAUAACAGAGACAACCAGUAGCCCGAGACAAAUGAUAUACAAAAUUUAAAUGAAAUAUAAACUCAGACAUGAUUUGGAUUAGAUUUUUUUGGAAAAAAUAAUUGUUAACGCUAUUUACCAAAGGAUUUCACCGUAACAGUAAAAAAAGUAGGCUGGAAUUUGUCCUAAGAACAAAUCCAUGCGGAGUUCAAGUAGAUCUCCUUCGAUCUCCAAGUUGACCGAUGUUUAGCGACUUUUCGGUGAGAUUUCAAGCAGAUUUAGGGAUGGUAUUGAAGGAGUCUAUCUGGCGAGUUUUGCCAUAAUGGUGACUGGCCACAUGUUUAUGUUUUUUUCGGUGGGUUUUUCGAAGGGGGUGCUUUGGCAGUGGUUUAUAACUCCGUUGGAAUCCAAUUUUUUGGUGAAUAGUAUGUGGGGUUGGUUAAAUAUAGGGUUUUACUGGGUGGGUUUGGUCGGUGGUUCACAGGUUUUGCGGGUUCGGUGAGAGAUGCAACUGAUUUUCCGACGAGAAGCUUGGUCGCUAUUUUUAUGGGUUUUCUAGUGAGAUGGGUGUAUUGGAAAAAAGAUGUUUAUUCCUUUCCUGAUCUCUCUCUGUAUUUUUUGUUUUCUCCACUAUCUCCUCUCUCGCAUCUUUCUUUAUCUCGCCCGAUCUCUCUAGUUUUCCCUCACUCUUUCUGAUUUCCACUCACUAUUUUUCUCUUUUUUUCUACUCUAUUUUUUUCUCCUAGUUCCCUAUUUGUUCACUGUAUUCUUAUCUCUUUUCUGAUUAUGUGUGUGUUGUUCCUCAGUGUGUAUGUAUUUACGUAUUGCUUUGUGUGGUGUUGCCUGUAUAUUUAUCUUAUAUUACGAGAAAUAGUUUUUGGCAUAAGUCAUUAUAUAAGCAUUUUUUGUUCUUUUUUUGCUAUUUACAGAUGAAAAAAUUAGAUGUUUUACUAUGUACUACCAAUUUUCUUUUCAUAGUUGAUAGUAUGCAUAAUAUGUUGUUAAGGAAUGAUAGAUACUGAAUUAAAUAAUCAUACAAACAAAACAGGAAGUUACAACAAUGUCAUAUACUAAAUAAUCCAUGAACUCACCGAAACAAAUGUAUUAUGAUUUAAUUUGCAACAGAAUUCAUAAAAUAAAAGUGAAGGAUCGAAUAAGAACCUGUGUGUUAUAUUAAAUUAAUGUAAGAAUAAAAAUACUGUUACCAGAAACUCAAACAGAGACAUAAACUCUAACCCCAAUCUUUCUUCUUUUCUGCUUUGAUUUCCUCUCUCUGUUUUUUUUUCUCUCUCUUUUUCCUCUAUUUUUCUGUAUGUCCAUCUAUUUUUUUGUACGGGGAAGGGGGGGGUUGAGGGAGUUAUGUGUCAAAGAGGUUUAGGAAAGUUGUUCGAUAAUGGAGGGAAAAGUUGAGGGAGAUAGGAUUGUGGGGGGAGGUUGGGUAGUUUUAUUAGGAUAAUGCUACUUUUAUAUAUGUAAAUAAUAAUAAUAAUAAAAGAAUAUUAAUUAAUUAAUUUUAUUUUUUAAAAAAUCUAAUAAAAGAUUGUAUAUAAUCUAAAAUAAAUAUAAUUAAGAGAAUGAUAAAAUUACUAGCCUAUUUGUUAAAAUUAAAAGAAAAAGAUAUAUAUUUUCUUGAAAUUUUUGUAUUCUUUUAAAAGCAAAAAGAAAAAUAAAAAUAUCCCAACAAUGUAACUUUAUUUAUUUUUUAUUUAUUUUCAACUAAAAUUAUUAAAAAUAAAAUAAAAGCUAAAAUCAAUAUUGGACAAAAUAAAAAUAUUUAAUGCCGAAAAAUAGGUUAAAACUCAGGGAGGGUAAAAUAUCACAUGCCUACAGAUACAGAGACAAGAGCAGAGACUGAGAUGGUGAUUGGAGAUGCAAAGAUGAUUACAAAGAGAAGGGUGACAUAUAUGUACCACCAAGUAUACAGGAUACUAAGUCUAGGAUGAAGGCAAUGUUGUUGAAACUAGUCAAAGGCCAAGAAAGUCAAGAGAGUUGUCUUAAGGAGAUUAAGGCAGACCUGCCAGAGCUGAAUCAGAAAGUUGAGUCCCAUGCUACCGCAAUCAAGCAACUGGAGCAGCAGUAUGGCUAGAUGUAGGCCAUAUUGAAUCAAAGGUAACAUGGCACUCUUCCUAGUAAUACUAUGCAUAACCCAAAGAAUGACAGUCAUUGUCAUGCUAUUACCACUCAAAGUCCUAAAACCACCAUUGAUCCGUAUAUACCUACCUUGAUCGAUCCAAAUAAUGAAGAUGAUCAUGUUGAUAAUAGUAGUGAGCAAAAUAAAGGUAAGGAUAAGGCUAAGGAGCCUAUUUUGAGGACUAUCCCAAGGCCUCUCCCUCCAUGUCCUUAGAGAAUGAAAAAAAGCAAAAAGAUGGUAAAUAUCAGAAGUUUCUGUCUAUGUUAAAGGAGCUGUCUAUCAAUAUUCCACUUAUAGAGGCAUUGGAUCAAAUGCCUGGCAAUGCAAAAUUCAUGAAGAAUUUAGUCACCAAGAAGCAGUUAGUCUGUUAUGAGCCUUCUGACAACAUUCAUUACUGUAAUGUUGUUGCUACUAAAUCAUUGGUAGAGAAGGAAGAUCUGGGAACAUUCACCAGUCCUUACACAAUUGGAUUUUCUAACUUUACUAGGGCACUAUGUGAUUUAGGUGCUAGCAUAAAUCUUAUGCCACUAGUGGUGUUUAAGAAAUUGGGGUUGGGGGAACCCAAACCCAUAUCUAUGAGACUUGUGAUAGUAGAUCGUAUAGUGAAAAAGCCAGAUGGUAUUCUCUAUGAUGUAUUGAUUUUGUAAUAUUGGAUUGUGAAGUAGACUUUCAAGUUUCGAUUAUCCUAGGCAGCAAAUUCCUAGCUACAAGAUGAACUUUGAUUGAUAUGGAAUUAGGACAUCUGAUGUUCAGACUCAACAAUGAAAAGGUGGUAUUUAAUGUAUGCCAGUCCAUGAAAUAGCCAGAAAAGUUAAAGGUUAUAUCUGUGAUUGAUGUUUCUAAGGAAGAGAUAGUCUUAUUCUAUUAUCUUAAUGCAACAACUAAUUGGGACGAUAGUUCUGAAGCUGUUCCUAUUGAAGAAAGGUUGGGUGUUGAAGCCUUAGCAACAGUGAUAAUGAACUUCGAUAACGAUGGUAUUGAUGACUAUGAUGAGAUGGUGUGUGCAUUAUAUGGGAGUGACUUUUAUAAUUUUGAACUAAAGAAGCUUGAUUUGGAUCUAAAAAAUAGAAUCAGUCCACUAGCUCGCCCGUCUAUUGUGGAUCCACCCAUGUUAGAGUUAAAGGACCUCCUUCCUUAUUUGAGAUAUGCAUUUUUAGGGGCUAACAACACUCUGCCAGUAAUCAUAGCAGUUAUUUAAUACAAACAAAAGUGGAAGCUUUAUUAUCAGUGCUACAGAGAUUUAAGAGGUUCAUUGGUUUGUCUAUUGCAGACAUUGUGGGUAUCCUACCUAGUCUUUGUACUCAAAAAAUCCAACUGAACCAGAUUAUAUUCCAAGUAUAAAAUAUCAGUGUCGGCUUAAUUCUUCUAUGGAAGAGGUGGUUAAGAAAGAUAAAAUCAAGUGGUUAGAUGCUGAUGUAGUGUAUCCCAUUGAAGAUACAAGUGGGUCAGUCUGGUACAAUGUGUUCCGAACCAAGAUGGAAUUAUUAUUGUGCCUAGUGAGAAGAAUAAUAUAGUGCCAAUGAGGACUAUCACAAGAUGGAGAGUGUUCAUGGAUAAUAGGAAACUCAAUGCAUGGACCCAAAAGGACCACUUCCCCAUGCCCUUUAUGGACCAGAUGCUUGACAGACUUGCGGGCAGAGGGUGGUACUAUUUUCUUAAUGGGUAUUCAGGCUAUAACCAAAUCACUAUUUCACCUAAAGACUAAGAUAAUACAACCUUCACUUGUCCUUAUGGUACCUUUGCAUUCAGAUGUAUGCCAUUCGGGUUAUGUAACACUCCAACUACUUUUCAAUGAUAUAUGAUGUCAAUCUUUUCUGACAUGGUAGAAGACACCAUCAAAGUAUUCAUGGAAGAUUUUUUGGUAGUUGGUAAUUCUUUUGAUUAAUGUCUGGUUUACUUGGAAAACGCUCUUCGUAGAUGUGAUGAAUACAACUUUGUACUUACUUGGAAAAAGUUCUAUUUUAUGGUUAAAGAAGGUAUAGUGCUUGGGCAUAAGAUUUUGGAAAGGGGUAAAGAGGUAGAUAAAGCUAAGAUUGAAGUGAUCGAGAAAUUACUCCACUAAUUUCUAUAAAGGGUAUUCAAAGUUUUUUAGGACAUGUUGGGUUUUACAAGCAUUUUAUUAAGGAUUUCCAAUCCUCUCUGUAGGCUUCUUGAGAAAGAGGUGAAGUUUAAUUUUGAUAAAGCAUGCUUGAAGGCUUUUGAAUGUCUGAAAGAGAAGUUGAUGACGACUCCUAUCAUUGUGUCCCUUGAUUGGUCCUUUUCUCUUGAGAGUAUGUGUGACAUAAGUGGAGUGGCCUUAGCUGUUGUAAUGUGCCAACAAAAAGAAAAGAUCCUGCAUCCUAUCUACUAUGACUGCAAGACACUAAACCCUGCUCAAAAGAACUAUACAGUUUUUAACCAGGAAUUGUUAGCAGUGGUUUUUGCCUUUAAGAUGCAAAGAUACAAAGCCUAGACUGAUUAGGUAGGUCCUCUUUAUACAAGAGUUUGAUUUUGAGGUCAAGGACAGGAAAGGCACCGAAAAUCAAGUUUUAGAUUAUUUGUCUAGACUUGAAAAAGAGGAUAUGUAGAAAGUUGAAGAUGGACUCAAGAUUGAUGAUAGUUUUCCAGACGAGUAAAUAUUGGCCCGUUUCUCAAGAUAUGAUUCCAUGGUUUGUUGAUUAUACAAAUUAACUAGCAAGUGAUCUAGUCCCAGACGAUCUUUCCUUCUAGCAGAGAAAGAAAUUUAUGCAUUAGGUAAGGAAAUUUUUCUGGGAUGAGCCUUACUUACUUUGAAUCUGUGCGGAUGGGGUUAUUCAUAGAUGUAUCCUUGAAGUGGAGAUGAUAAGCAUCCUUAAAACUUAUCAUGCUUCACCAGUUGGGGGUCACCAUGGAGGAACCCGCACAACCCAUAAGAUCUUGCAAUAUGGGUACGAGUGGCCUACAAUUUACAAGAAUGCUCAUGAUUUUGCUUUAGCCUGUGAUCAUUGUCAACGCCAAGGUAACAAAUCCAGGCGCCAUGAACUUUCUAUGACCUUUAUUUUAGAAUUGGAAUUGUUUGAUGUAUGGGGUCUAGACUUCAUGAGACCUUUUGUGAGCAUCUUUGAUAUGAAGUAUAUUUUUGUGGUAAUUGAUUAUGUGUCAAAGUUGGUGGAAGUGAUUGCGCUCCCCAACAAUGAAGAAAAAAGUGUCAUAGUUUUUUUGAAGAAAUAUAUGUUUUCCAGAUUUGGCAUGCCACGUGCAAUCAUUAGUGACAGUGGGUAACAUUUUCUUAAUCGUCUAUUCAAGAGUCUUCUUGAAAAGUAUAGAGUGAAUCAUAAGGUCGCAACACUUUAUCAUCCGUAGACUAGUGGACAGGUUGAGGUGUCCAAAAGAGAAAUCAAGUCCAUCUUGGCAAAGACAAUUAAUGCCAGUACGACUGAUUGGUCAAGAAAGCUAGAUGAUGCAUUAUGGGCUUACCUCACAACUUUCAAGACACCCAAAAGGGCUUUUCCUUAUAAAUUGCUAUAUGGAAAAGCAUGUUACUUGCCUAUUGAAAUUGAGCACAAAGUACUAUGGGUAUUGAAGAAGCUGAAUUUCAAGUGGCGAGAUACAUCAAAGUCAAGGAUGAAAAAGAUAAAUGAGUUGGAUGAAUUCCAACCCUGGCUUAUGAAAGUUCUACACUUUACAAAUAAAAGAUAAAGAUGCAUCAUGAUCAUAAAAUUGAGAAGAUAAUAUUUGAGAAAGUUGACCAGGUAUUGCUCCAUAACUCAAGACUUCACUUGUUUCUAGGUAAGUUGAAAUCUAGAUGGUAUGGUCUAUUUACUAUGCUAAGAGUGUUCUCAUAUGGUGCUUUGGAAUUGAAGCGGGAUGGUAAAGCCCCAUUCAAGGUAAAUGGUCAAAAAGUAAAACAUUAUUUGGGUAACACUAAGGAAAUUAAUUUAAUUUUUGAAAUGAACCUUGGUAAAGUCUUAGUAAGCAAGGAAAUUACAUUGUGCCGCGGCAUUAAAUGAAGAACUGCAUGGGAGGAAACCCAUGAGGGUUGUUGGUGAAAUCUUGUAUCCAAUCUAGCCACGUCGUGCUGCUACAUUAAAUCAAGCAUUUUAUAGGAGGCAAACAAUGUUGUUGUACUUAAUAAUUUAUAGGGAUUGAGGAUUAUAGAAAAUAUCUAGAAUUUCCAGAAAUCAGGUCAUACAGACUCUUCAUGAGUCAUACCUUAAUGUGGCGACUCGUGAGUAGGAGUUGUCAAGACUCGGGACUUGAAACAUAUCCAGGUAAGAAGAUUUUAGAGUCCUUACGUCUCUAAUGGGUCAUAACUCGUCACACUGAAUCGUACUGACUCCAGAAUUAGGUAAAGUUCCUAAUCUCUAUGACAGAAGGAAAAGAACCAUAAGAAUUGAUUACGAGUAACACAAAUAACUCAUAACCAAGCCUAUUAGGUCAAGGGUCGUGGGUCAACCUGGCCCAGUUCACUUGUUUUAAAUAAAAGAAGGGUACCUGAUCUGGGUACCUGAUACUAUAAACAAUGGAUACCUCUAUUGUUGAUCGAUCUCUGAGCUCUAAACGCACGAAAUUACCCCAAAACAUACACUAAGAAAUUGGUUCCUCCCAAACUUCAAUAAUUUUGCAAGAAUUUGGGGUGAAAAGUGGUGAAUCGAAGAAACCUAAAAUCUCAACAAUUCAAGUAAGUGUUACACUUAAAUUCUUUAUAUUUCAAGUUGAAUUAAAAAAUGAGUUGACAUUUUAGAAUUUCUUUGAUUUAAAUAAAUGCAUGUAUGAAAAUUUGCACCCUAGUGCUUAGAGAUGGAGUUUGAAAUGGGAUUUGGGAGUGAACUUGUAAUUUGGGUGUUAGAAAUGUGUAUUUUUGGAUGAAUAUUGGGUGGUAAUGCUGUACAUUAAAGGGUAAUUUGGGGAUUAUACAUUGGAACAAACUCAAAGUUAAACCUUUAUGUUGCAGUGGAUAUGAGUUUCCUUACGACUCGUACCCAUAAGUAACGAGUCAGUACAAGACUUGUAACUACUGACAACAUAAAGGUCUAACUGGGUGUAGGUUCUAUUAUGGUUACGACAUGCCUAUGUGUGUUGUAACCAAGCCCUACAACUUAUAACUAGAAGACAUAAUGACUGGGAAGCUGAACAUAAGAGUUAUUGUUUCUAGUUAGUUUACGAGUAUUUGUAAUGAGUCAUAAGUUAACCUUACAAAUUACUUGGAGGAAUCAUAACCUAACUAGUAAACAUUGAUCUGCUUCUGUCUAUCUUACGACUCAAUCAUAUGAGUCAUAACCAACGUAUAUAAAUCAGACCCCCCAAUUGUAACAUGAACAGAUUAUGCACACUGACAUGUAUUUUUCUUUGUUUUUGUUUCUUGUUCCUAGUAAUUACUAAUGACUGUAUGCAUCCAUGUACUAUGACUCCAAAAGGUGACUCCUCAAAGAAGAACACUAAGAAUAAGCCGACUCCCAAGGCUAAUUUCUAUCUGACAGAUGAGGAAAUAAGUGAAUCAAGUAGUGACCUUGUAGAGUAUGCCAUGAAAAUGAAAGAUGACCCCAGGGAAAAACGACCCCAGGGAAAGAAGGUUGGCGGACCAGAGGACACACAUCUAAGGGUGCCAAGAAGGAAAAAUUUGAGUACCUCUCCUCCGCACUCACCAUCAUCCUCGAAGGAUGGCAUUAAUAAAAAUAAUGAGAAUGUAGAAACCAAGGGUGAUACAGGCGAAGAAGAUUCAAACUCUUAUGAAGUAGACUUAGAGACUUCAAAUGGGGAAUAAGUAGAUGUGACCCAAAUCGAUGUUCAACACCUACCACUACCACCACAAGCUCAGUUUACCAUUACACCUAUUCUGGCGCCCAUCACUGAAUGGUAGGGGUACCCCAGAAUAGAGUACAUAUAUAACUUUGGGUUGGUAGUGAAUCACACUAUAGAAAACCCUAGAAGAAGGAUUUAUAUGGAAUCGAGAUUAAUUAGUACAGGCAUGUCUGCAAUGCCUGGAUUUAAGGCUAGAUGGCAGUAGUAUAGGUUCCAGUAGAUGACUUCAACACCAGGUAGAUUUAGUCUUGCUUUAGUGCGGGAAUUUUAUGCAACAUAUAAAGGUGCGCUGAAGAGAUAAUACCCUCAGGGAAAAUUGUGGAAGGGUGGUGAUCCAAUUUUCAGUCUAACCAGCCAUGGAGUUUGGAUAAACAUCAGUCCAAGGACUCUCUCCAAAUUUCUGCAUGGUCCUAACUUCCAGCCUCCAGUGAACACAGGAGAAAUUGAUUAUCGCAUAAUGGAAAUGCAGAAGGUAACAAGGAAGCAGAUGGGAUCGGAGGACAAAAUAAUGCAUUUUAGAUGUAUAAAGAACCUUAUCGCUACAAAUAAUAAAGAAGUACCUUGGGUGAUGGGUGGCCCAGUAGAAGCCUCACAAGAUAUUAAGAAGCACACCCUUAACUUCAAAGCAAAAUCCUGGUGGACACUGGUUAAGAGACCUCAACUUGCUUGCUUAUUUGAUAAUGGUAAGGUAUCACCACCUUGUGUUUCACACCAUAUUUCUCAAGAAGGGUUUUAAGUAGACGAUUGAAAAAUGGAAUCUUCCAUCGCUAAUGAUAACCCUAGGUGUCCCAAAUCUGGAUAAUAUAUUCUUUUUCAAGGAAAUUGUGAUGCUCUUACUUUCAUUGUUAGGAAGUGCAACCGGCUCCACCCACUUCAAAACAUAUUCAACAAUACUUAAUAUAUACUUCAUGCCAUGCGAGAUAACUAGGGUCCCAUAAAGUCCACACCCCAAACAUCAAACAACUCAAGCUCAAAGAUGGUAGUCAUUAGAAUUUCAUGUCUUCAUGAGAUAUCACCUUGCAUUUGGCAUAGAUCAAAAGCCCAUGUAUAAUCAUAGAAAACCAUAUGAAUGGUGGAGAAGUAAUAUCCAUAUUGCAAGAUCUUAUGCACAGUCCGCACAUCUCCAAGAUAACCCCCAAUUAGUGAUGAGUGACAUACCUCGAAUAUGAUCAUCAUCUCAACCUCAGGAACAUAUUUUGGAUCACACCAUUUGCAAGAACCCUAAAAAAGUAUGGAUCAUCUCAAAAUAAUUUUCUCACCUCAUGCACAAACUUUUUUCAUUAUCAAAUCGACAUAUCUUUCAGAAUUAAAUCACUUGCCAAGUAAUUGAUAAAAUUUGAAACCAGGAAAUUAUGUCUUUUGAUGCCAAUGCUUGAUUGUCUAGAAAACUAUUAUCAAUUUCAAGAUUAUCCUCCAGUUUCAACAGUGCCUCCUCCUCGAGGCAUGAUAAAUGGCCAACCACUUAAUUUUUAGUCCCCCUUUAAUCCUUGAAUUUUAAGUCAUGUUCCUUCAAUAAAAGUACCCAUCUAAUAAAUCUUGUAUUGACAUAUUUCUUCAUUAUAAGGUAUCUAAGAUUUGCAUGGUUAAUAAAAAUAAUCACUUUUGUUCCAAGCAUGUACAACUUGACCUUUUCAAAUGUAAAUACAACUGCACGUUGCUCUAGUUCAAUCACAGUGCAAUAUUUUUUAGCAGGGUUGCUAGCAUAGUAGAUGGUAUGUAAGAUAUUAUCUUGCCUUUAGAAUAGGAGUACACCUAGCUCCGCACAUCUAGCAUCACACAUAACCUCAAAAGACAAAGUCCAAUUGAGAGACACAAUAAUGAAGGUCGAUCAACUUCCCUUUCAGACACUCAAACACCUUUAGACAUGCCUUAAACACAAAUUUCACCUCUUUAUCCAAUAAUUUUCACAAUUGAUUUACGAUUUUAGGAAAUUCCUUAAUGAAUCUCUGAUAGAAACCUACAUGUCCUAAAAUGCUAUGAAUGCCCUUCAUAUAAAUUGUUGGAGGCAAUUUUUCAAUUACCUUAAUAUUUACCUUGUAGACCUAAAUCCCUUCUUUGAAAUCCUAUGAUCCAUCAUUAUUACUUUUUUAACCUUGAAGUGACAUUUCUCCCAAUUCAAGAAUGAGUUAUAUUACUCGCAUCUCGUUAGAAAAUUGGAAAGAUAUGCCAAAUAAUCACCAAAUGAGUCUCCUACAACUAAAAAGUCAUUCAUGAAAACCUCAAUAGUGUUCUAUACCAUGUACAAAAAUAUAGACAUCAUACAACACUGAAAAUUUACAAGAGGUCACACAGACCAAACGACAUCCCCCUAGAUGGAAAUGUACCAUAUAGACCAGUGAAAGUUGUCUUUGCUUGGACUUUCAGUGCAAUAGAAUUUUGAUUGUACUUCAAAUAACCAUCAAUAAAAUAGUACCAUCCUCUACCAUCUAGAUGUUCUAAAAUAUAGUUUGUGAAAGGAAUAGGAAAGUGAUCCCUGUCGGUCUAUGGGUUCAACUUCCUAUAGCUCAUGUAAACUCUUCAUAUGGUGAUUAGCCUCAUAGGAAUGAACUAAUUUUUUUCAUUUAGAACCAUAAUGAUUCCAAUAUUCUUUGGCUCACAUUGGAGUGGGCUCACCCACUUUCUCUUAGAAAUUGGAUAAACCAUGCCUGCAUUCUACCACUUAAUAAUCUCUUUCUUUACAAUCUCUGAAAUUUAAUCUAUGUUGGUGCUCUAUGCUAGGUAUAUAUUUUGUCUCAAUAUGGAUUUUGUGGAUACAAAUUAUAUGUGAAAUUCUAAUAAUUUUAGCAAUAUACCAUCCAAUGGCCCAUUUAAACCUCUGUAAAAUAGAAUCUAUGGCCUCUACUAGCCACUUUAACAAAUAGGCUAUAAUGAGAACUAAAAAAGUAUUAUUAGCCCCCUAAAAUACAUAACACGUAUAAGAAAGAAGAACCUUGAGCACUAAAAUAAGAGGUUCCUUAAUAGAAACUACUAACUCAUACUCAUCUACUAGAUCUAUCGCAGAGAUCACAUGUAUGUCCUUCAGUUGGUUUAAAGACUGGCAUACAUUAAAAGUAACGUACUCAUAUCUCAACCAAAACUUCAUCUAUCCAUUUUUCAUAUCAACCAAUACUUUCCCAGUUGUAAGAAAAGACCUUCCUAAUAUAAUAGGAACCUCAAAGUCAAUCUCAAAGUCAAGGAUGGCAAAAUCAGCCAAAAAAGUAAUAGAUGCAUCCCUUACCAAGACAUCUCACAAAAUUCCCACUAUCUUCUUCACCGUGAGAUCCACUAUAAAAAGUCUCACCAAAGUUGGUUUGAGCAUCCCAACUUUAAUUACUUAUAAAAUACUAGCAGCAUCAAUUUAAUGUUAGCACCCAAAUCACAUAAUGCCUUUGCAAAGUUUAAACACCCAAUAGUGCGUAGGAACGUGUGGGUCUUCUUUUUUCUCAACGAAUGAUCAAGAGGCUAUUGCGCUAUAGUCAUGCAUAUUGUCCACGGGAUCAAAAAUCAUAGUCUUAUUCUUUGUCACUAACUCAUUCAUAAUUUUACAUAACCCAACAUUUGUUCCAAAGCCUCUACAAGAGGGAUGUUCACCGACAACUCCUUCAACAUUGAUAAUUUUUUUGGUAUCUUCUCUCUUUAGUGUUUUAGUCUUUAUAGAAAAAGAGAGUGAGGCGUGGAAUAGGUUUCAAUAAUGGUGUGACCUUCUUUUCCUUCCCUAUGUCUGCCUUAUCAUCUUUUUCAGUAUCUAGUGUCUUUUGAGAUGCACCCAUCUCUACCACUAAAUUCAUUACUACAUUCUUAUUAACAUCAUCAAUGAAUAUAGGGGUGUCCCUCUUUUCAUCAACCUAAAACAUAGGUGGAUCAGUAGUAUCCUUACCACUCUAAGUAAUAAUGGUUAGACAAUGGCUAUCAUUCUUAGGAUUUUAGAUGGUGUUGUUUGAAAAUGUGUUUGGUUGACCCAGGUUUAAUACAGAAUACAUCUACCUAAAUUGUUGCUCAAGAUAUUUAAUGGCAGUUGCAUGGGACUCAACCUUUUAUCUCAUUCCAAAAAAUUCUGCCCUAAUCUUUUUAAGGUAAUUUUCUUGGCUCUCCGACCCUUUAGCAAGUUUUGCAUGCAAAACAUUUAUUCUUAAAUUUACAGACUUAACAUCACGGUUUCCUGGGCAAACAUAAAGGUCACUCUUAUUUUAUAGUCAUCCUACUCCUAUCUCUAUAUGCAAACCUUUUGCAGUUGUCUUCAUAGUGGUUCUGACCUUGAUUCCCUUGCCUAGGGUUUCAAUUGUCUUGAUUAGACCCUUGUCCCUUGGCUAAAAAAUCUAGCACUUCUCUGUUAAGAUAUUUAGCCUCUUCAUCAGUAUCCAAAUCUUUAUAUCUAAAAGACUUACCUUGUGUACCACUGCAUUGACCUUUUCUACCAUGACUUUCACAAAUUUCUUAGUAAGUAACACAAUCUCAAUUCUUAAUUAUGACACUUCUUGAGUUACUAUCUCAUCUAGUGCUCUUUACUUUACAGAGGCUCCAAUUGUAUAAGUACUGAUCAUUUGUCACCCUCCCAAGCGUGCCACCAUCUAUUUAUUUUUGUAAUCUAAUCUAAGAUCUAGAUGCAUGCUCCUAUUAUAGACUCAUGAAAGCCCCAGUAGUGAUAGUGUCUGCUAGAACUUAAUGUUAGAAUUCAAGGCUCUAUAGAAGAAUUCUAGCUAGUUUCUACCACUAAUCCUAUGGUUUGGAACACUUUAUUAUUUUUUCUUGAACCUCAACCAUGUAUCGUAUAGUGCCCCUAAAUGUAAUUUCUAAUGCAAUCAGAAAUAAUUUGUGUGAGUUUGUGGUUUUUAGAGACUUGAGAAAGCAUAUAGUUGACUUUGGUCAACAUUUCUUGAUCCGAGUGUCCAAUGAAAAUUUGGACAAUUUCAUUAGGUCCAAAAUAAUUAAUUUCGGUUAGUAGUAUAGUUGGUUUGUGUUUACUCAUUUGUAUUCAUGGGAUUCCAAAAAAAAUCCCGCAGUUCAGUUCGAAACUAGGCAUUUUAGCCAAGUUGCUGAUUGUGCUGCUACCUGUGCACCCACUUAAGCAACCAAGGACCGCUUUAGCAGCCUGGAAUCACUUAAGCGGUAUCCUUUUAGUAGCCAGGGAUUGCGUAAGAGGAAGAUUCUUUAGCGGCCAUAUGUCACGUAGUCGAUGGCCAACCUAAGUGGCUUGGCCGCUUUAGUGAACUUUUAGUUGGUCAAGUGAUGGUAGAUUUAGCGGUCAAUUAUCCACUUAAGCAGCCACCGCUAAAACAAUAUAUAUACUCUUUUUCACAUUUUCCUUGAUUUCUAGACCUUUGAUCUUAGGGUUUAAGUGAUUCUAGAGGAUUUCUUCACCAUUUGAGCUAGGGUAAGUUCCAAACCUUAUUUCCAUAAUUUUUCAUCGAUUAUAUUAUAAAAAAAAUUAAAUCAUGAUUUCAAAAUUAAAAUUUGGGGUUUUUAUCUGUAAGGUUUUAAAAGUGUUUUUCUUUAAUUUAGACCUCGUUUUAAACCCAUUUCACAUGUAUUUUUUGCUGUAUAAUCCUAUAACCUUGGAGAAUGUGUUUUUAAGAUAAAAUUCUAAUUUUAUGCCUUUUAUUUUUGAACUCAUUUAUCAAACCUAUUUUGGACCCAAAUUUAAUAUAGGCAAUAUAGGUAUACUUAGCUUUCUUUCAAUGUGUUGAUGCUAUAUUUGAAUAUUGCAGUUGAUUCUGAGGUCGUUCAAGAGGAAGACUCCAUGUUGAAGCACUAUAGGCUGAUAUUUCCUCGUUCUGAGGUAGGUUAUGACUUAACUUCUUUCAAAUUAAGUUGGGUAGUUAAUAAAUAAUAGAGCAUGCUAUGGGUUAGGGAACAUAACUAUAGGGUUUAUAUUUUGAGAUUAUUUUUACUGUUUUGUGCUCGUGUGGGGAAUUAUAUUCUAUCAUGGUUGUUUGUCAUAUCUAAUAUUGUGUGCUGCCCGUGUGUCAGAUUUAUUUGACAUCAUUGGUCUUAUCUGUUCAUUUAAAUGCCUUUAUUCUAGAUAUGUGACCGUGUGGGGUCUUAUUUUCUGAUAUAGGCCUUAUUUGAGUAUUUACUUCUAUUAUCAUGAUAAAAAUAAUUGAGUUAAGAGUUGACAUGAUAUUAAUGAUACCUUACAUGCAUAUUUAUUCUGAUGGUGCCUAAUUAGAGUUGAUGGUUGAUGAGUGGUUAUUUUACCACUCAAUCACACUUAUCACUCGUGCACAUUACCUUGUUUUGAAUGAAUAAAUGAGACAUAAUUGUGAUUAAAUGCACUAAAAUCCAUACUUUACAGACAUAGAGUUAAGGAGAUAGAAAGAUGUGCAUUGGAGCUUAAAAUGAUCAAAAAGGGAGUAGGAAAGUGCAACUAGAGAUUUGGAGCAGAAGGGCUUCAGUUACCGCGGUCGCGGUCUGCUGAUUGCAAUCACGGCAGUCAAGUAGGGUCAAUCAACCUCGGUUGUGCAAGUCUAUAUCUAUCAUGGUAGAUGCGGUCAAUGCCAAGUUGGUGCGAUCGCAGUUUAGCGAAAGAUUUUUGCCUAAGGAAAAAUUCAAAAAUACACUUGGCUGAUCCCAAUUUUGACAAAAAAACUCAAACCCUAGCAUUAUUGAUGAUAUUCCACCUUCCCCAUUUUUUUUAGGUUUAGCUCUUGAGUUCGUAGACUCCAUACUUGGAGAAGAAUAUAUUGUAUAAAUUUUGGGUGAAGAAUACUUUGGAGACCUUCUAAGUGGAGGAGUAGCUCACUUCCAUUGUUGAUUUAUGGGAAUACAAAGUUUGAAGGAACAUUCACUUAAUCUUCAACAAGUCAUUUUAAUGGAGACUCUUGGUAUAUCUAUGCUUAUUUAUCUUAUGUGUAGCUAGAUCUCCAUCUUGGGGUUAUGUGUGAAUAUGGGUUAAAGUGUGUGUGGGUUAUUAUUGUUAGCCUCUAUUGGUAGUUCAUUUUUAUGGGUUUUGUCAUUGCUAUGCUAACUUGGUUGGUAUUUGUGGGUGAAAGCCCCAAAUACCCACAUAGGUUUGAUGAGUGAAAGCUCAAGGCCAUCUUCAAAAGAAGGGUUUUGGGUGAAAUUUAGGAAUUCACAUCAUCCUUAAAAGAGGGAUGUGGAGACCAAAGCAAUGAUAGACAAUUAUGUGUGUAGUUUGCUAAAUUUUGACUAACUUCGACAUAAGGGUGAUUGUGAAGUUAACUAUACCAUGGGUAUUAUCCUAGAAAUAGGGAUGCAUAAAUUAAGCUUUGGUUACCAAACGUUAAACACACCUAGGGGUGGCGAAAAUAGCCCAAACCCAUUUAGCUUGCCCAUCCCGCCCAUGCUUUAAUGGGUUGGGCUAGAGUGAUUUUGAAGAUGGACUGAUUUGGGCUAGCGCAAGUGAACACAUCAUAAAUCAUCAACCUAAUUGGGCUCAUAAUUGAUCCAUAAAAAUGUUUAAUCCUAGUGUUUAUAAUAUCACUUUUAAUAUUUUUAGGUGCUUCAAUUAUAUUCUUUUAUCAUCUUGAAAUAAUUUUAGUAAUAAAUCAGUUUUGAAUGAAGAAAAAUAAUUUUUUUCUUACACCAUUGCACUACUUCGACCCCUACCACUCCCCCUAAAAAAACUUAACUUUUUUAAAAAAAAAAUUUAAAAAAUCAAAGUCUUUUUUUUUUACCCCAACCAACCCCUACCUAGGACCCUUCUAAAUUUUUUUUUUUUAUAUAAAAAUAGAUUUUUACACGAUCCCUUUAUCCCCAGCUCCCUAAAUAUGACCCCCUGCCCCCUCCUAACAAUUUUUUUUUAAUUUGCAUUUUAGAAAAAUUUAAAAAAAAAUUCUUAGCCCACCCCCACCCUUGCCCCCCCAAAAAAAAUUUAAAUCUUUAAAAUUUAUUCUAUAAAAAAAUUAAUUUUUUUCUUUUUCCACCUCUCUUAUCAUAUUCUUUAUCAUUAUUUUAUGUUAAAUAUAUAUACUAAUGCUUUUAUUAAUUUUUUUUAGUUUUCAUAUGUUAUUUUUACGUGAAAACAAUAAUAUAAAUAUAAAUAUAAAUAUAAAUAUAAAUAUAAAAAGAAAAUUAAAAAUAUCAUUCAAACUUAAAUUGCUACAAGAAUGGUAACUUGUUCAAUGAUGGGUUAUGUUGGGCGAAUUGGGCUAUAACCCAUUGUUUAUCCCAUCUUGCCGCAACCCAUCUUAGCCCAUCUAUAUUUUGAAUGGGUUAGGCAAUGACUCAUUUGUUGUUUUAGUCCAUUUUGAUCCGCCCAAAUUCGACCAAACUCGCCUAUUUUCCACUCCUAAACACACCCGUUAGGCAUUCAAAAGAAUCAAUAUGUGAUGUUUGGUGUUUUGUUGAAAAACUAGCAUCAAAAUCUAUAACCAAACCUACCCAUAUUUGAUCUACUAAAUUGAUGUUGAUUACUAACACCCACAUGUCAUUCCCUUAGUAACAUAUAAUCCCAAGAUCCACGCAUAAUUGUUAAAAGUCUAAUUAUUCAUAGCCUCAAAUUUAUACUAGAAUAACCCAAAAAGAAAUAUUAGUGUAGAUAUCUAUCUCUCCCAUUUUUGUGUUUUUAUAUUGUUGGUUUGAAUUCAGCUAGUUUCUAUUAUUUUGAAUUAACUUGAUUGCCACUCACAUUGUUCCUCGUGGAUUCGACUCCGACUCCAAAGUUAGAUAAAUAUAUUGACGACGACCUCUUUGCACUUAAAUUGACGUAUAAGAUGAGCGUUAUCAAAAAUAGUGUCAUUGUCGGGAAACAAUUUGGCAUAUAAAGUUAAUUUGGAAUUUUAGCUUAUAUGCUUGAAUUCAAGCUUGCAUAUAUUUAUUUAUGAUUUUAUUUUUUUAGGAAUAAUUUUUAUUUUAUUUUACUUUUAUCUAUGGAAUCUUCCGACAAGUAUGAUGUUGGUAGUUUAGAAUCCUAUCGUGACGACUCAUGUCCAAUUUAUGAUGGACCACACUUCAGGAGAGAUUAUAUCUAUGCUUCUGAGAGAGAGAUGAACCCACUAUCUCGAUCCUAAAGGGAGUAUAGGUGUUCUUUAUAUAUUGGUCGAGAAGGACAUUGGGAUAACUAUCCAAAUGCCCCUCCCCUAUUAUGCUAAUUGGGUUGCUAGUUCUUCUUAUGAGCUUGAUAAGUCCUAUGAUGAGAAGAAGGAAGGGAAACAUACCAAGUCUAAUA